AAACUCCGGCGAAGUGUCAUUACUAUCUGUCUGGAAAGAAAUGUAAUGUUUUGCAUAAAUAAUGAGGCUGCUGGUGUUUGUCCUGAACGAACCUUUGAUUUCACUCCACGCCGCACUGGUGUAGAUGAAGAGAAAAUUACGUGUGGUGCUGGGGAGUUCAGAUUCAGGAUUGUCUGGUCCUUGAUGGACUUUAGGCUGUAAUCCUGUGACUUGGUAAACUUAGUUCUGAUGUAAUGAAGUGAUGCAAUGAUGUAGUGAACUAUGUUAAUCGUGAUGUAAUAAUGUGGUGCACUAAGUUAUAUUAUUGUUAUUAAGUAACUUGAUGGAUUAUAAGUAAUGAGUAGCGAACUAAGUUAUUAUAUAUUAUGCUGGCUUGUUAUACCAAAUUUGUUGGCUUAAUUUUUUGGCAUAAUUAAAGAAGAUUAGUGCACUUGGUGUUUUGUUAGACAUGUAUUAGGCGGAAAUACGAACAUUUGUCACUGUUAAGGGACAUUUCUACCAUAUUUAUCUGUGGUUUGUAUUGAUUGCUCAUGGUCACGUCUGUGUUAUCUAAAUGUCCUGAAAAUUUAAUUAUUUGGAAGAUGGCUUUGCAUUGUGUUUGGUUGCUGUUAUUCGGAACUAACUUCUGAAGCACAACCUGGGUUCAACGAGGAAGGCAGGAGACACCUUCAUGUUAUCAGUCCUGGACCACAUGUUUUUUGGGAAGGAGUGUAUUUCAUGAGAAAGUGGCUUCAUUUUUUGAUCCAUGUUGCCUGUUCAAGCCAAUACAAAAUCUGCUGGUACAUAAGAAAUUUGAGGAUCUUUACAAAAGAAACGAUCUUCAAGACACCAUGCCACCAGAGGUACUUUUUUUACCCAUGUUCUCUUUUAUAAACUGUGUUCGGUUCUGGGCUUCUGGCAAUGCUUCCACAUAUGCAUAUGUGGAUAUGCUAAUUGACGACAUCUGUGUUGAUUUUCUGCUAAAUCAAGUAUAUUACCUAGGGCAUACAUUUAUUUUCCCAGUAAAUCAAGUAUAUUACCUAGUGCCUUUCCUGUCAUACGCGAAUGUGAACAAUUCAUGAUUUUUACAGUAUAUGAUUUUGCUCUUAAGUUAUGUAUGAGUGUAAUCUCUUGUUCUAAAUAGUGUGUGAAGUUGGUGGUGACGACAAAUGCACUGGAAAAUGUUGGAAUUGCUAACUUGGAUACAUGGAUUUAGCACGAUGAGAGGAUAAAGGUCAGUAUGUUGUAAUAUAUGCCAUUUCAAUCUGAACUUCUGAAUGAUUGCCAUCUCUACCUCAAAAAACCGUUGGUUGUAACACUCUUGAUGGUUUGGCUCUACUAGCUGUUUUGAACGCAUUGACGAGCACCAAGAGGCAUGAUUCUCCUGACCAUAGUUUAAGAAACAAUCAACAUUUGAUCGAUUUUCUGUGAAUCAUUAUUUAAACAGCACAAAACAAAAGGUUCAUGCUGUCUUUUGUUCUUGCACACCUUGAGGGCAGUUAUGAAACCAGUGGACUGGUAACAAUUGAAGAUGGCAACUUCAAAUAAAGUGGAUUGGGAUCACGUAUCUUCAGGGCCAGUAAAUAAAUUUGGAGUUAUAGAACAUCAGAAUUAUAAUACGUUGAGCAUGAACUGAAAACCUGAAAUAGUAUAGAACAGAACAUCACAGCAAACCUGAGAUUGACAUUGGUUAAUGCUUUCUUCACGGCACUGCAACUUAUUUCCUCCCUGAUUUUGCUCCAAUCAAAUGGAAAACCAAGAGAAUGGACAAGAAAUUUUCUUUGGAACGUGGAUGAGGAGGCUAAGGGGAGGAAAUGUCCCGUGAAUUGGCGCUCUGUUUGCUCCCCCAAGAAUGCCGGUGGUUUGGGCAUCAAGGACACUGCUUGUGUUAGUAGAGCAUUGUACCUGCUUGUUUUAGUUUGGGCAUCAAGAUACCUUGGUCUGGCAGCCCUACCCCCUGUGAUAAUUAUUGAUAAAAGGCAUAAAGCUAUAUGUUCUCUGUUUGCACUGUUGCACACACAUUGAGCUUGGUGAUGCAGCUAAAGUGGGUUUUUGGAUGCCUCUUUCGGGUUGCCAGAAGAAUAUUACUGUCAAAGAAACUUUGGAACUAAAUGGUUGGAUGUGUGACAAAGUGUGGUCUGUUAAGUUGUCCAUGGGCCUGUAUGAUAUUCGAUGGCUACUAACGGCGGAUGGUCGCUUCGGCUGCCUUGCAUAUGGAUUUCACUUUGCUGCAAACUCCCCUCAACCACUGUUGGAUAGUGUUUGGAAACUGGAAAGUGAAGGCUGUGAGGAAUCACCCAUGGUCGACUUCUACUUGAUUUGGCCCGUCCUCUAGGGUUCCUCCCUCACUCCCCCCGCCGCCGCCNNNNNNNNNNNNNNNNNNNNNNNNNNNNNNNNNNNNNNNNNNNNNNNNNNNNNNNNNNNNNNNNNNNNNNNNNNNNNNNNNNNNNNNNNNNNNNNNNNNNNNNNNNNNNNNNNNNNNNNNNNNNNNNNNNNNNNNNNNNNNNNNNNNNNNNNNNNNNNNNNNNNNNNNNNNNNNNNNNNNNNNNNNNNNNNNNNNNNNNNNNNNNNNNNNNNNNNNNNNNNNNNNNNNNNNNNNNNNNNNNNNNNNNNNNNNNNNNNNNNNNNNNNNNNNNNNNNNNNNNNNNNNNNNNNNNNNNNNNNNNNNNNNNNNNNNNNNNNNNNNNNNNNNNNNNNNNNNNNNNNNNNNNNNNNNNNNNNNNNNNNNNNNNNNNNNNNNNNNNNNNNNNNNNNNNNAGCGCGCGCGGCUACCUGCCCGGGGCAUGGGCGGCGGCGGUGCUCCUCGGCUCGGCGGCAGUGGCCGGCGGCGCGUGAGGUGGUGGCGUGGCCCCUUGGCGGCGAGAAGGCGUGGUGGCGCUGGUUGGCCGGCGGCACGCCCCCAGCCCAGAUCUGGCCCUGCGGGUCCCAUCUGGGUCCUAGCGGGCCGGCUCCGCGGCGUGGCUUCAUCGUCGUCUGUGUGGUCUGGAGGAGGAGCAGCUCGAAUGGGGGCGGUGAUGCCGGCGGCGUGCCUGCUAGAGCGUGGUGGCAGGAGCUUUACGGGCGUGGAGGUCCCGGCCGGGCCUGUGGGCCCACGGGCCUGGUAUGCUCCUGCUACUGUGUCCGGUCGGCUACCAUCGUUGACAUUUUAACCCUAAAAAACUCAGGAUUUUAUUUAUUCAUUUUAUUUUGGGAAAUAUAUAAUUGAAAAUUAGUUUACAUAUACAUAUAUAAUGUGAAAUAAAGACAUAUUUCAUAUAUUUGAAUCGCUGGUUUGAACCAUCCCAAACAAGGUGUACCACGAUUAGCUACCGAGGCAAUAUAGAGGAACAAAGGCUACAUGAUAGACUAGCAAGGCAUGCGAUCGAAUUGGCAUCGUCGAUGUUGAACUAACACCGGUGGUCAGGGUGGCACCUAGAGGAGGGGAUGUUGGCGACGCAAGGGAAGGAGGGGCAGCGCCAUCUGAAUGGUGGAUGGAUGGAUGGGUGCAACAACCUCCGUGAGGGGAGAACUGAGAGUCGGGUGGUCUUGCGAAGAAGGCAACGUGUGUAGGGUUGAUAGCUCGGCAGUGAAGUUGUAAUCUGUCCUACUACGUGGCACAACAGGUUGGGGUCCGUCCGCAGGGACAGUGAGAGGAAGUGAAGAAGAGCUAAUGUCGAUAGGCCAAAACAAUUUAUGGGAUCAUGAAACUUUAUUCAGGGUUAUUAAGUGGUAGUUACACGAUCAUGUGGCAUUCUCAGCCCGACAUGACAGUUGAAACCUAAUGACAGAGAGGGUUUUGCUAAUCUAUCAGCUUCAAAGUUGUGGCUUCUACCUUCAUGACUGUAUUGCACACCUCAAAAUCAUUCGUACGCUGGGAAAUCUCUAGAACAAUAGCACCGUAGCGACCUCCUGCCCCUAUCUUGAAUGUCUUUUAUUGCUUACAAACAGUCUGACACAAUUAUUACCUUGCGCAACAUCCAAUCAUCAGCCAAGGCCAAAGCUUCUCGACACGCUAGGGCUUCCAGAACGGUAGGAUAGGUGAUGUUCUUGAAUGUGAUCGAGGACGAGCCUAGGAACUUGCUCUGAUCGGUGUGGCACAUGACUCCCACUACUCAACGGCCACCAUCGCUAUACACCGCACUGUCAACAUUAAAGCUUGCAAAACCCUCUAGAGGCGCUUUUCCAAAUAGCAUGUGAUUCAUUCAGAGCUCUAGGCCAUUCGGAUGGUGAUUUGUUCUGUUGGGUGCUCUGGAUGUCAUAGAUGAAGUUUUUGACUAAAAAGUGUGCUCAAAGAGACAACUGGAACUCUCCUUCAUGAAUUUAUUUGCGCCAAGCGUGCCAAAUUGCCCAUAAUGUGACUACCAUAUCAAUAAAAUCAUAAUGUGCCUAUGUCUCCAUCAUCAUAAAGAGCCAAUGUCUGGUGUGUGGCUCUCUCGUCUCAAUCAUGGGUUCUACUACUUGGUAAACAUUGAAUGUCUAGUGUGUCACUACCAUAUGAAAGAUUUCUUUUUUCAGUAUCACAUUGACUCAGUCAUUUCGAAACCAGGAAAAGAGCAAUGCCGACUCUCAUGUUUUUAUGGGAAGCUAAUAUGAGCCUAAGGUACAAGACCUGGACACCAUAAAACAUCUGCGAAGUGAGAGCACAAUACCUUGGGGUGUGCAUUGGUGACUUUAAUGAAGUUAUUUGACAAGAGAAGCUGUGGGGCACUAACAGGACAUAGGGUUUUACACUUCAUAGCAGCCUGGACCUAGGUAAAAUCAUCAUGUUACGUAGGUGGGAUUCGUUCCCCUCUUUGCCCCUCACCGAACCAAUAAGAGGAGCAUCCAAAGCUCCCUGGUGCUGUGCAGCAAGCCACGACACAUGUGUUGUUUUAAUGAAGUUGUCACGCUAUUUUAGUCUUCAACCAUGAAAGUUUUGCAUGUUCAUUUUGAUACAUGUCUGGAGAUUUUUUUCUUAAUGUAUGGCAUUUUGUGUUCAUUUUGCCUGGCGGAUCCUGUAGUCACUAUCCUCAUUGAUAGUUUCAGAUCCCAGGUGAUUUUUGUGGCUAUGCAUUGUCCUACUUUUGUCAUAAUGUACGGAUUAAUUUGAGAGAAAUUUNNNNNNNNNNNNNNNNNNNNNNNNNNNNNNNNNNNNNNNNNNNNNNNNNNNNNNNNNNNNNNNNNNNNNNNNNNNNNNNNNNNNNNNNNNNNNNNNNNNNNNNNNNNNNNNNNNNNNNNNNNNNNNNNNNNNNNNNNNNNNNNNNNNNNNNNNNNNNNNNNNNNNNNNNNNNNNNNNNNNNNNNNNNNNNNNNNNNNNNNNNNNNNNNNNNNNNNNNNNNNNNNNNNNNNNNNNNNNNNNNNNNNNNNNNNNNNNNNNNNNNNNNNNNNNNNNNNNNNNNNNNNNNNNNNNNNNNNNNNNNNNNNNNNNNNNNNNNNNNNNNNNNNNNNNNNNGUUUCAAACUUCAUGGCAAAAUUGCCAUGCCAUCAUGCAGGAGAGGCACAACAAUUUUUUUAUGGAAACAAUUCACAUGUAGGAACUCCCUGGUUAGUACUAGGGCACAUGUCAAUUAUAUAGCUAGAUAAAUGUAAAGCAUAUGGCAAAAUAUGAACCGUAUCUACCUAUAUGUCAAGGUUCACCAAUCCAUAAGAAUGACAAUUUGUUAUUUUAAUGUGUCCCAUGGCAUUUCUAAUAAUGUGUUCCAUGGCAAUUUCUUCUUUGUUAGUAACACUAAUACUACUGUGUCCGGUCGGCUACCGUCGUUGACGGUGGAGGUCGUGCCCUCCCGCGUGCCGACGGUGCUGCGGCCCCUAGCCCCGACUCCUAUUCUCCAUUGUGCAGGCCUCACUUUGUGGUGCCGUGGUGAGACGGCGUGGAGGCUUCAUGACCGCGGUGGCGCAAGAUGGUGGGUGGUCGGUUUGGUGGCAGGCUCUAGAGCAUCCGAGGUGAAGGUUGGGAUCGGGGGAAACUCCUGUCGGCCUGUCCGACACCGACGCGGCGAUGCCAGUGGGUGCUCCCGGACCUUCCUGGAGGGCGUCGGGGGUGACCCUUCCUCUCGCCUCGUUGCGUAUCGGGGGAAACCCUUGGCAGCAACGUCGUCAUCGUCGCGGUCCUUCUUGGAGGUGUUGAUUGGUACCGGUGCUUCAGAGCCUUGGAGCUUGGUGGGAGAUCUUCGGUGGGCGCAGUGGUCGUGAAGCUUCUUCGUUUCCGUUAAUCCGCCAUUGUCGGCAUUUUUUCUCUUUCGUUUCUUUUGGGUGUGAUUGUGCUGCUUCUGCCCAACACCUAUCGUUGGCUGUAUCGAUUGGUUGCUUUGUAAUACAAAGCGGGGGAAAACCCUUUUUCUUAAAAGUGAAGGCUGAGCCCAAAAUUAAAUUUUACUUGCGGCUUCUAUUGAAGAAUGGCACCUCUUCUGUCCUAUGUGAUCAGGUUCCUGAAUCUGCUACUCAACUGACGUUUAACUGCUCCUUCGCUCGCCACCUCUUCUGUCCCUCUGACAAUAAGGUGGCUACCGUCGGAUUUCGUGCUGUCACAAUCAAAGUUUGGUGGCACAAAUCUUCCUCCCUGAGCAAGUUUGCUGUCUUGAAGAAGCAAGACACUGCUGCUGAUUACAUAUCGUAGAAUCACUACCCCAAACAGACUUUUUCGUGACGGCCAGACACGUUCGUGACGGGCGCGAAACCUCCUUCAGGAAUGUGUACGUGUUCCUGACGUGGAUGGUCAACCGAGGGGAAAGAUCGUUACGUUCCUGACGCUCUCAGCAAUAACCUUCAGGAAUGAGAAUAACCUUCAGGAACGCAGUUGCACGUUCGCGUCGGGACACUAUCCACGUCGCGAAUCACUUUGCACACCUUCAGGAACGUAUAUGUGACCGUCAGGAAGAUACCUAUGCGGGACCCGGAGAUAUUUUCGCUUUUGAGGCGCGUGAUAUUUUCGUUUGGAGAGUGAAAAGCGCGCUGAAAUUUCGUUCCCAGGGUGUAUUUCGUGCGACUUGCGCUCUCAACAGGAGGGCUUGGUCAAAACACAGGAGGGCUUGGUCAAAAUACCUAGAACUCGAUCCACUUUUCCCCAUCGAGAUACUCCUCCCACUCCCCCGUCCAGCGCCGCCACCUCCCCCGUCCAGCGCCGCCACUUCCCCCGUACCGGCCGUCCAGUUCCGAUCGGCCGCCCCCCCUAGCCGUCGAGCGCCGCCCACAUCGCCGUCGAGCGCCAUCCCCCUCGUCGUCGAGCGCCACCCCAACUCGCCGGCGACGUCCAGAUCCGCCUCCCUGGCCGGCGAUUUCCAGAUCCGCCUCCCUCCCCGUGCAGAGGUGACUCCCUGCCCGUCCAGGCCCUCUUUCUCAUCUUCCCUACCCAAUCUGGCUGUUGUAUCAAAUAGUUUAGAUGUGCUGCACAGCUACAAAAAAAUCUAUUUCAUUCUUAAUUCUGAAUAUGUAACUUUUGUGCAUUUUAUGUCCAUGCAAAGAACUUCUGUAUGUUGAAAAAAAAUGCUAUUUACGAUUGAAAAUUAGUUUCAAAUCUGUGUACAGUGGUACAUUUUUCCUUUUUAGUUAACAAUUUCAUUUUGUACUUAAACGAUGUUGAUUGAGUAAUCUUGUAGUACUUGUGAUAAAUUCGCUAUGUUUCUGCAGUGGCUCAUUAUCAUUUAUUCAGACCAAAAGCGUGUUGGUAAGUUGCAUUCAGUUUCAUUUGACCUCCCAGUAUGGGUAGUUUGUUGAAAAAACAUGUUCCCUUAUGUAGGGAAAGAUGUAUGGCCCUGCAGAAUGAGUUAGAAAUUAUGCUUCUAUAUAAUGUGGUGGAUUAUGGAUCACUAAUGUAAUUUGUGUUCUCAGAUAUUUCUUUUUGGAGGUCAAGUAUGGAUUAUGGAUUAUGGAUUACUAAUGUAAUUUGUGGUGGAUUAGGGAAAGAUAUAUUGCUAUCCCUAACCACCUGAGAACAGAAUAGAAGAUGUCUUUCAUGUAUAUUUUGACUAACCACCUGAGAAUGAUUAUUUGUUCUCGUACAUGUUUUCUUUCCUUGUAGAUAAUUGAUAGAACAUUUAUUCAUUUAGCAUUUAGAGCCUUUUUGCAGCACAAUUUAAACUUUUACCUCCUCUCCAAUGACGACGCUGCUCUUCCCCAACGACAGCUUGCUGCUGAACUCUGUCAACACCUGCUGCUAAUCGUCUCUUGCAUCUACAUGUUCCUGUUCUUCUCCAUCUUCAAAGCCACGUCUUAGACUGCUGCAACACCAAGCUCCAGAAGCCAAAUUUAUGUUCUGUACUCCAUUAUCUCACCUCUUCCCUCGCUGAUUUCUUGAACCCCUUGCUUGUUCAGUUAGUGUGAUGUCUGUUCCUUUAUGCUUCCAAUUGAGAUGAUCUAGUUCUAGUUUUAUCACCUUAGUAUUUCAAUUAUUUGCUCCUUUGCAAGACUGAAGAUCCGAUGCUCUGUUAGAUUUAAAUUUCUUGUUCAACUUAAGAGAAAAUGUUAGUGUCCUGUUGAUUGUGUUCCAGCAUGAACUCGUUCCGAACCUCACCUACUGCCGUUUUAUUCUAUAUCGAGUUUUGUCCAAGUUUUGAGUGUUGGUUGUUUGUUAGAAGAGCAUCUUCUCUUAUGUAGGAAAAGAAGAAUGGCCUAUGGCAGCAACAAAGAUGAACACUUGCAAGUUCAUGAAGUUGGAAGUUUGCAAAUGUGGUUGAGAGUGGAGAUUGUGGCCCCAUCAAUAAUAUAAUGUUCAAAAGUGUCUUGUAAGUUCCUGCACCUUUGCUCUUUAUUCAAAACUACGACAAAUGUUAAUCUAAAAUGUAACAUUUUUGUUUUUCAAUAAAUUGUUUGUUCCAUGAUCAGUACAGUUGUAUUAUAAUGAUGGCAUCCUUUGCAUUUCUCUUGAACUUGUGUACACAAACAUAGAAGUAGAACAGCAAAAGGUUGUCAGUGCAUUAGCUUCACCCUGCUGCUCCAAUAACACUUAUACUACACGAUGUAUAUACCUCUAAACUUGCAUUUAUGAGUAUGUCCCCAGUUAUUCUAAUUUUCUUCACAAAUACAGCUUCUGAGUAGAAAUCGUUGUAGAUACUUGGGGCCACCAUUCUCCUCACCAGACCCUUGGGUGGGCGAAGGCCCUCAAGCACCUCCACUUGAACUUCUGGUGAGUAAGUCUGUAAGGAACCACCCCAGGACAGUUCUAGUCAUAUUAGUCUUUUCUUAUCAGCUAGCUUUGCAUCGCCCGCCUCCUUGUUUUUAACAUUUUCAAGAUGAUGAAUUUUUGGAUUGCCUUGCAGCUUGUUUAGGCUCUCCAACUGUUUUAGCUCAUGCCAAUGUUCCGUCCUUACUUGAAAUACAUCAAGUUCUUUUAGUGAUGCUAAACUGCUGAUGUUCAGAACUUGCAUCGCAAAGCUAUAAAUAUGCUGCUUACUGCUAGUUUUCUACAUGUAGUGCUAGUUCUGUACAUGCAGUUUAGUGUUCCGCAUACUUAGAUUUUUCCUAUGAAGUGAUGAUUUUGUUUGCUAUCAUGUAAAGUUGUGAAGGGGGUUGGUCAUCACAAAAUUUCAUUUGCCAUGAAUACUAUGGAUAUAGGUCAUUGGAUUGCAACCAUUUAUUUUUUUCUUCCCUUUUCUUUUCUUUUGUUCAUUAUGUUCCGGUUACAAUUUAAAUAAUUGCAGCCUGUACUUGGCAAUAAGAGAAGUCUUCUUCACUUGCUUGGUGGCUAGCAACAAGUGUGUCAUGAGCUGGAGCUUACCUUUUGGUUUGAAAACCUGUAUGUAUAACAGUUUUGCCUUUCACCGUUGUUCAUUGAAAUCUCCUAUAUUUUUCUGUCGUAUAGGUGAAUGGAACCUUCCAAGCCCACGUGAAUGCUGAUACUCCGUUGGCAGAAUGUUCCCAUGAUGAAGACAAUCCUCAUGCUACUCAUGCGGAUGAGCAUAGUUCUAUUCCAACACAGGACAAACAUUUAGGAAUUCCAGUAGUAUAGCUAGUUAAUAUUGUGAACUGCAGUGCAGUUAGGCUUUCUUUGUCAAUUGCUUCUCCUGGCAAUUUAGGAAUCAACUAGUAUGCGUGUUUUGGACUUGGUGACACCUCCUGUUAAGUCAAGCUUCCAUGAAUCAUGACUUGGAUAUGAAUGUGUGGAUCUUGUGAACAAUGAGAUUUAAAUAAAUUGGAUGGGUACAUUGUGACCUAGGAAUUGGUUGUGAUUUUAAACCGGGUCGUGUGACCUUUGUGUACGCAUGAUUGUCAAAAGAUUUGCAUGUGGCUGUGAAUAUAUACUGUUUUCCAAUAAUAUUUUUGGUUUGUCUUGGUUGAUUCCUGACGACUGUUUUCAUACUUUCCUGACGAAGCUAGCCGUCAUGGAUAUAUGUUGAGCUCAUUCCUGAAGGUAUGGUCCUGAGAGCCACAGAAGAUGUUCCUGACGGUAUCUCCUGACGGUGGGGCCGUCAGGAAUUUGAGUUUGGGAGGCGAGGGGCUCCCCUCAGGAAUUGCCGUCAGGAACACUAUUCGUGACGGGGACCGUCAGGAACAAUCCUCUUUCCUGACAAGCUGUUUCUGACGGGAAAUUCCUGACGGCAGGGGCUCAUUCCUGACGAAAACUGUUGAUUCCUGACGGAUUUUGGCCGUCAGGAAAAAGUCAGUUUGGGGUAGUGAAUCUAUGGAAAGGGAGGAACUGCCGAUCUUUUGAGGACGUGAGUGCAGACGCUGAGGUUGUAGACAGUGUAUGGCUUAUGCUUAUAGUCCGAGGUAGCGUCCUCCAAAGCAUGGUUGGCUCCCUUUGAUGCUUCAGAGCAAACUUUGAUGGUUAGCAUUGCCGAUGACCCUGAGUCUGAAACUUGUUUGCUCGUGAGACAUGUUCAACUGAAUUUGGAAACAUGUGAUCAAUGAAGGUUUCAGUCAAGGCAUUAUCCAAAUGCAAGCAGAGAUGUUCAUCUUGAAUGAUGGCGCUUAAUUUUCCUAAACAGUCAAUACAUUGUCCUUAUAUUAACUAGCAUUCUUCUUCCAGUCUCAGCAUGACAUAGGACGCCGCUCGAGCAUUGUCUAACUAUAAGAAGUUAAAAGAAUCACGCGACGCGCCCCAACCUCUGAAUCUUCCAUGGAGCUUGAAGGGAAGCCUGAGGCCAGUAUUACAUGGUUGCUUCUGGGCUUGCAUUGUGUUUAAAUGUUAGUUUAUGUUGCACUGACAUGAUGUUAACUUCACUAUUUUUGUAGGCAUUAUAUACAAUUUUUCUGCUCAUUUGUACUUGAUGCAUUUGCCAAACAGUUGUCUGGUCCUGCUAUUUCUUUUUACCUAAAUGUUAGAAGGCUGAUGUCAGAUUUUUAAGGAGUCGGAGCGAACGACCUCGUGCAUGUCGGGUCCCACGCACCAAUCCUGAAGUGUUCACUGCAAAUACAUCCUUUGAGCAAACUACAAGGUGUUGGCACUAAGCACUAAUUGGUUCGCUCAGGAUGUCAAUAUGAGCGAACACAUUCACAGACGAUGAUAAUUUAUGUUUUUAGAGCAUGUCAAUUAUCACCUUUUUCCGUUGAUGUAGCAUGACGAUUUCAUUCAGCUAGUAUGGCAAUUCCUGAAUGGCAAUUUUUAGUUUACAACAUGGCAACUCCUUAUACAAAAUCACAUUUUUUGAGCAUUCGCUUAAAGUUUUUUCAAUGAACGAAAAUGUUUGCUUGUUCGUGUGACAUCUAGGCUUAAGAAAAUGAUAUAUUACUCAUAUCAACAAGGUACACCUGCUUUUUAGGGCGCCAUCCGAAAGAAACAUCCAAAUUUAGUGCGUGCACGAGUGAGGAAACACAACUAAAGGGUCGUUACUAAACCCUCCCCCUUUAGUCCCAGUUCUUAUACGAACAGGGACUAAAGGCCCUCCACGUGGCCGCUGCCUGGAGGUCCACAUUUAGUCCCGGUUGAUAACACUAACCGGUACUAAAGGAAAUUUUAUGAUUUUUUUAUUUUUUUUAUUUUCAAAUUUCUGAAUUAUUUUAACCUCUAAUCUCUAAUCAACCCUCAUCACUGCUCAAUUUAACCUCUAAUAUCUAUUCACCCCUCAUCAUUCCAAAUCAUCUAACUUCUCGGACGGUCACCCAUCCUCUCAUUACUCCAGUCUGAGCACGCUUAACUUCAGGGUUCUAUAUUUCCUCGUUUCCAAGUUGUUUUCCUGACAAUAGUAAGAUGUCAAUCCUAUUAACCCUCAGGAAUUUAGCUUGAGCAUGAAGUCACACAUUUCAUUGUUUGAGUUUGAAACUAUUGUUCUAAAAAACAAUAAUUAUUUAGUAACACUAAUAUUUCUUGAAUAAGUAGUUUGACCACAAUUUGACCAUAGUUUGACCAAUGUUUGACCAGAUUUGACCAAAAUACAAAAAAACUGAAAUAAUUAUUUAGUAACACUAAUAUUUUUUAAUAAGUAGUUUGACCAUUGUUUGACCACAGUUUGACCAUAUUUGACCAAAAUUCAAAAAAACUGAAAUAAUUAUUUAGUAACACUAAUAUUCUUGAAUAAUUAGUUAGUAACACUAAUACUUCUUGAAUAAGUAGUUUGACCAGAUUUAACAAAAAUUCAAAAAAAUUGAAAUUUGAGCAUAACUUUUUUUCCUUUUAGAAUUUGAGGAUUCUAAAAAUUUGCAAACAGGCCACCUUGAUCUGAUGAUAACCAGAAUAAGCAUCUAAAAAGCUCAAACGCUCACAACUCGCCGUAGCAUCAAUGAUCUGAUCAAUAUGGGGAAGAGCAAAAGGAUCAGCUGAGCAAAGCUUUGUUAAGGUCUGUGUAAAUCCACACACAUACGCCAAAGUGCCAUUUUUCUUAAGUACUAGCACCGGAUUAGCUAACCACUCAGAAAGAAAAACUUCAACAAUGAACCCGGUUGCCAAGAGGGCCACCUCUUCUCCAAUGGCCAUGCCUCUCCUUAUUAAAACAAUGAAGAAAUUGUUUGACCGACUUAAACUUAGGAUCAAUAUUGAGAGUGUGCUCAGCGAGUUUCCUAGGUACACCUGGCAUGUCUGAAGGCUUCCAUGCAAAGAUGUCCUGGAUCUCAUGGAUGAACUCGAUGAGCGCGUUUCCUAUUUCGGAAAGUGCUAUGCUAGUUUCUUAUGUUGCAGAUCAUGAACUUUGUAAGAUCAAUUCUUGUAAUGUUGAACCCACCAGUCUAUCUUUAAGACUGCUUUUAAGUUUCAUUUUGUGCAAAUUUUCACUCUCUAUGUUAAUGUUUAGUUGCCCGGUCAAUGCAAGUAAAACAAACUGCUACCAAAUUAUAGGCAAACAAACAAAAUGUUGCCAAAAUUCAUUUCCAUUCAAACAAAUACAUGUCAUAUACAAUUGGAUACAUCAAGCAUGCACCACACUUUAUUCAUUCUCAUUCCCUACUACAGGAUCACUUCUUAAAAACUACAUGCACUAUUAUUGCAACCAAUACAACAAAAUGCACUGAAAAUACUCCUAUAUAGGAAAAUAAGCUCAUUUACUAUCAAAAGUGCUUUGCAUUUAUUGCUUCAUAGUCUUCUUCCUACUAUAUUUGUUCACUAGCACUGACACUAGCCAAAUCAACACUGCUCAGUGUGCCUAGUUCCAAACAAGACAUCCUUGUAGUUGUCUGGUCUAUCUUUCCAAGUAGUAGUGUUGGCAAAGAUUUGAUUAAGCCUGUCACACAAUUUCACACAUGUGAGAAAACACACGGAAAAGAGAUCAAAAUCGAGCAAAAAAUGGAAUCUUACACAAUGAUUAGGGGUACUUGUAGAAAACCCUCCUAGGAUUUUGCGUCUAAUUUUGACACAAGAUGAAUCGUUGACCGAAUUCGGCAGCAAUGGCAUGCCACCAACGACAGUCUCCCCGUUGGUUGCGGCAGUGGAAGUGACGCUUGCACAACCUUCUUCCUGGGGCGCUUCCUAGUAGACGAGCCUGAGGCGGCCGACAUGGCGAUGGAGCAACCAUGGCGAGAGAGAGAGAGAGAAGACCUAGGGACCGGGGAAUGAAAAGAAUCAAUGCUACAAAGGGCCGCAUUGCAUAAAUGCCCAAUCGUUAGCCUCGGGAAAUCUCCCGCCUGGGCCCUCCAGACGGCGUGGCUGGGGUCAAAGUGCCACGCAGGCUGGUCAGCGCUGAUGAGAGAGAAUUAGAAUCUGAGAUGGACGACUUAAAAAGAUUUAGGACCCAGACUUGCAUUUUCAAAGUAUUGGGACUCAGUUGGCAAUUCAACGAAAGAAUUAGGACCGCCUAUGCAUUUUACUCUUUAAGUUUUUCUAGACAAAUUUACUCUUUAAGUUUUUUUUUUGAGGCAAUUUUACUCUUUCAGUUAACUUUUUUUUGUGAGAAACUCUUUAAGUUAACUUUUUUGGGCUACCUCUUUAAGUUAAGUUUCUUUAGGGGUAACUUAAUUUAAGUUUUUUUUGAGGGGUAACUCUUUAGGUUAGGUUUUUUUAGAAUCAACUCUUUAAGUUAUUUUUUGUUUUGUUUUGUUUUUGAUAAUCAACUCUUUAAUUUAAGUUAACUCUUUAAUAAGUUCAGUUAAAAGAAAUCUUUAAUAAGUUAAGUUUUUUUUGAUAAUUUAAUACUCCCUCCAUUCCUAAAUAUAAGUGUUUUUAGAGAUUGCACUACGAACUACAUACAGAUGUAUAUAGACAUUUUUUAGAGUGUAGAUUCACUCAUUCUUACUUUGUAUGUAGUCCUAGUGAAAUCUCUUUAAAGACUUAUAUUUAGAAACGGGGUGGUAAGUUAAGUUUUUUAGCAGCAUUUAAUAAGUUAUGUUUUUUUUGAAGAAUUUAGUAAGUUAAGUUUUUCUAGAAGAAUUUAACAAGUUAAGUUUUUUUAGAAGUAGGAAUAUUUUUUUUUUGCGUUCAAGAAGUAGGAGUAUUUAAUAUGUUAAGUAAGUAUAGAGAUAAAGAGGUUGCUUUGCCUUGGCCCAACAAGUGGCACCGGUACCCGCUGAUAAGUCACCUGGGCCUUAGCCCAGCCCAAAGCACUAGCAGCAUAAGAAUCAACAAAGAGGAAAGGGGUCGACAGCGGCGAUGUUAGGAUUUGCUCGGAGGCGGCGGCGAGUAAGGAUUCAUUCAUCAUGGCGUCUGUAGAGCAGUUGGAGUCGGAGGAGGAGGUGGAGGGCUUCGAGCCUUUCUUCUAUGACAGUGAGGAUUGGGAUGCCUGGGCGGAGGAGGAGGCGGAGAGGCGCCGGCGGGAGGAAGAGGAGAAGGCGCGGAGGACGGAGGAGAACCGGCGGAGACGCGAGGCACACGAUGCGGUCAUGGACUCCAUCAUCCAGCACGAUCCCAAGGUGGGGCGCGACGUCUACACCCGAUUCUUUCUCAGAGAUUUCUCCGUCUUUGACAUCAACGAAGAGUGUAAGUGGCCUCUCCGUUUCUGAAGCCGGUGUAGUACUCUUCUCUUUUGGCUUUAUAUUUGUAGAAUUGUCUGAUUGACAGUAUGCAUGGGAACUGAAUUAGUACGUUUCACCUGCAUAAUCCUCUGUUAGGAGAAUCCUCUGACAUGCCAUGUUCAUUAUUGAUGCAUAGCAGUAAACAGCAAAUCUCAGUCCGUUUACUAGAUUGGAUCUAGUUUCAAUUAACAACAGGAACUCACUGAUUUGGCUAAAACUGAAAUUGACUUUCUACAGAUGGUGAGAUGAUAGUUUCCUCUUGAAGUUAACAGCGAAUCUCAUUUCAUUUACUUAGAUUUGAUUCAUAUGUAUAUCACUUAACAACAGAAGUCACUGAUUUUGCUAAAAUUGAAAUUAACUUGGUUCGAAUGGUGAGAUGAUAGCUUUCUCUUGUAGUUAACUCGCAAGUCAAAAUAAGAAUAUUAGAUGGUUUAACUCAGUGGGAUAUAAACGGGAAAAACACAAACUGGGCCUUUUUAUUGUGAUGAAAUAAUCUGACAGAUAUAUUUUGUUUAUUCGUCGCAGCGUCUGUCCCUCCAAUGCGAUACACCGAUAGUAUCUACCAAGAUGAAUUUGGGCUAGAAGACUCUGCAAACAUCCUCUCUGUCAGCAUAGUCUCCUCAGAUGUAGGCUUCCCAGUCAAUGUCUAUGGCCGUGUCAUUGCCAGAGACAGCAUUGACUACAAGUGCAUUUAUCUCUUUCACCGCAAUAGAGAUGAUUGCCAGCAUCUCAACAAGGUACAUCCUUGCUUCUAAGUUUGUUCCAAUCGGGUUUCAUUUUAUUCCAUGGUGCAUUUAAUAUCAACUGUUAAUUGGCAUCUAAAUGGAGUCAUCUUAGUGCUGGUGGUUGUCGAUCCAGACAGUCAUCUGCAUAUAAAUGGAGUAGCUUUUAUGGCAUGCUUCCAAUCUUCAUUUUGAGCAGUGUUUGGAUGAGCAUACUCUAACCUCUCGUGCAAUUCUUUUCAUAGGAUGGAAUGCUGAUUUUAACUGGCCCAUAUCGAGGUCCAGUGCUGGUUGAUUUCAUCUAUCUAGAGAUAGAUCUUAAAAUAAGGGAAGAAGGAGUUCCAGACAGGCCAUUUAGCAAGGGUCUAAUAAGCAUUGAUGGCCGAGUACUGUCUAGAGAGAAAGAUGUCAUGGUUAGAAGUGAAACACUUGAGAGCUGGCUCAGCACUACGGAAGUGAGAUUCACAACUGUCCUGGAUGCAGUCGAGUGCACCUUUGAAAUCAAGCUCAUUGAGGGGCUUUUUAAAGGAAAUAUAACAGUUGGCAUCGUGGAUAAAGCUCGCAAGCUGGACAAUGAACAAACGAUUGUGAUUCAUGAUAGCACAGCAGAUGGCGUGGUUACAAGUGAUGAAAGUGGAGUUAUCAAACUCCGGCGAAGUGUCAUUACUAUCUGUCUGGAAAGAAAUGUAAUGUUUUGCAUAAAUAAUGAGGCUGCUGGUGUUUGUCCUGAACGAACCUUUGAUUUCACUCCACGCCGCACUGGUGUAGAUGAAGAGAAAAUUACGUGUGGUGCUGGGGAGUUCGGAUUCAGGAUUGUCUGGUCCUUGAUGGACUUUAGGCUGUAAUCCUGUCACUUGGUAAACUUAGUUCUGAUGUAAUGAAGUGAUGCAAUGAUGCAGUGAACUAUGUUAAUCGUGAUGUAAUAAUGUGGUGCACUAAGUUAUAUUAUUGUUAUUAAGUAACUUGAUGGAUUAUAAGUAAUGAGUAGCGAACUAAGUUAUUAUAUAGUAUUAUGCUGGCUUGUUAUACCAAAUUUGUUGGCUUAAUUUUUUGGCAUAAUUAAAGAAGAUUAGUGCACUUGGCGUUUUGUUAGACAUGUAUUAGGCGGAAAUGCGAGCAUUUGUCACUGUUAACGGACAUUUCUACCAUAUUUAUCUGUGGUUUGUAUUGAUUGCUCAUGGUCACGUCUGUGUUAUCUAAAUGUCCUGAAAAUUUAAUUAUUUGGAAGAUGGCUUUGCAUUGCAUUUGGUUGCUGUUAUUCUGAACUAACUUCUGAAGCACAACCUGGGUUCAACUUGGAAGGCAGGAGACAUCUUCAUGUUAUCUGAACCACAUGUUUGUUGGGAAGGAGUGUCCUUCACGAGAAAGUGGCUUCAUUUUUUGAUCCAUGUUGCCUGUUCAAGCCAAUACAAAAUUUGCUGGAACAUAAGAAAUUUGGGGAUCUUUACAAAAGAAACGAUCUUCAAGACCCCAUGCCGCCAGAGGUACUUUUUUUUACCCAUGUUCUCUUUUAUAAACUGUGUUUGGUUUUGUGCUUCUGGCAAUGCCUCUACAUAUGCAUAUGUGGAUAUGCUAAUUGACGACAUCUGUGAUGAUUUUCUGCUAAAUCAAGUAUAUUACCUAGGGCACUGGAAAAUGUUGGAAUUGCUGACUUGGCUACAAGGAUUUAGCACAAUGAGAGGUUAAAGGUAUGUUGUAAUAUUUGCCACUUCAAUCUGAACUUCUGAAUGAUUGCCAUCUCUACCUCUAAAAACUGUUGCUUGUAACACUCUUGAUUGUUUGGCUUAACUAGCUGUUUUGAACGCAUUGAUGAGUACCAAGAGGCAUGCUUCUCCUUGCCAUAAUUUAAGAAAUAAUCAACACAUGAUCAAUUUUCUGUGAAUCAUUAUUUAAACAGCACAAAACAAAGGUUCAUGCUGUCUUUUGUUUCUUGCACACCUUGAGGGCUGUUAUGAAACCAGUGGACUGGUAACAAUUGAAGAUGGUAACUUCAAAUAAAAUGGACUGGGAUCACGGAUCUUCUGGGCCAGUAAAUAAAUCGGGAGUUAUAGAACAUCAGAAUUAUAAUACGUUGAGCAUGAACUGAAAACCUGAAAUAGUAUGGAACAGAACAUCACAGCAAAGCUACUGGCUAGAGCUGGGAGAUUGACAUUGAUUAAUGUUUUCCUCACGGCCACUGCAACUUAUUUCCUCACUGUUUUUGCUGCAAGCAAAUGAACAACAAAGAGAAUGGACAAAAUGAGAAGAAAUUUUCUUUCGAACGCGAAUGAGGAGGCUAAGGGAGGAGAUUACAUUAUGUUCCAUUUUUUUUGUUCUUCAAAAGUUGCUGAAUUUAAAUAAAAAACUCUGUACGUGUGUGUUUGAAUAGUGGAGUUCUUUUAUUGGUGGGCUGUACAGCACCUGAAGCAUUUUGUUCAUGCAUGCUGUACCCCUUAAUUUUAGACAUAUUUGAGAUUUUUUGUUGUUGUUAUACAGGUUUUCUAUUAUAAUCCGCCAUGUAAAUUUCAAAACAAAAGAAGUGCAUGCUUCAAGAAGAUUCAAAUCUUCCUACACAAAUGUUGAGUCGCCAAGUGAAAAGCUAAUGGAGGGGUAGGGUCGUAGGAAAGGAGCCGAAACACAAUUGUCUAGCAGUGAACAGCGAAUCUGCAUUUAUUUAUUUGGAUUUGAUUUUGAUUUGGUUCAUAUAUGUAUAUCACUUAACAACAGGAAUCACUGAUUUUGUUAAAACUGAUAAUAACUUGAACAAAUUGUGAGAUGAUAGCUUUCUCUUGAAGUUAACUCAGCAAGUGAAAUAAGAAUAUUAGGUGAUUUAACUCGGUGGGAUAGACAUGGGAAGAACACAAACUGGGGCUGUUUAUUGUGAUGAAAUAAUUUGAUAGAUUUAUUUUCCUUAUGUAUUGCAGCGUCUGUCCCUCCAAUGCAAUACUCUGACAGUAUCUCCGAAGAUGAAUUUGGGCUAGAAGACUCUGCAAACAUCCUCUCUGUCAGCAUAGUCUCCUCAGAUGUAGGCUUCCCAGUCAAUGUCUAUGGCCGUGUCAUUGCCAGAGACAGCAUUGACUACAAGUGCAUUUAUCUCUUUCACCGCAAUAGAGAUGAUUGCCAACGUGUCAACAAGGUACAUCCUUGCUUUUAAGUUCGUUCCAAUCGGAUUUCGUUUUAUUCGACGAUACAUUUAAUGUCAACUGUUAAUACUUAAUGUGCAUCUAAAUGGAGUUGCUUUUAUGGCAUGCUUUCAAUCUUCAUUUUGAGCAGUGUUUGGAUGAGUAUACUCUAAUCUAUCAUGUUAUUCUUUUCAUAGGAUGGAAUGAUGAUUUUCACUGGCCCAAGUCGAGGUCUAGUGCUGGUUUAGAUAUAGAUCUUAAAAUCAGGGAAGAUGGAGUGCUUCCAGAUAGGCCAUUCAGCAAGGGUCUAAUAAGUAUUGAUGGCCGAGUACUGUCUAGAGAGGAAGAUGUGGUGGUUAGAAGUGAAAUUCUUGAAAGCUGGCUCAGCACUAGGAAGUGAGGUUCACAACUGUUCUGAACGCAGUUGACUGCACCAUUGUAAUCAAGCUUCUUGAGGGCCGUUUGAAAGGAAAUAUAAUAGUUGGCAUCUCGGAUAAAGCUCACAAUCUGGACACUGAACAAAUGAUUGUGAUUCAUGAUAGCAAGACAGAUGGCAUGGUGACAGGUGAUCAAAGUGGAGUUAUGAAACUCCGGCGAAGUUUCAUUACUAUCUGUCUAGAAAGAAUGCUGGUGGUUCACAUGAAUAAUAAGGCUGCUGGUGUCUGUGCUGAGCGUACCUUUGAUUUAACUCCACGCCGCAUUGGUUCAGAUAAAGUGGAAAUUAAGUGUGGUGCUGGGAAGUUUGGAUUCAGGAUUGUCUGGUCCUUGAUGGAAUUUAGGCUCUAAUCAUGUGAUUAUGUUCUGAUGUAAUGAAGUGAUGCAAUGAUGUAGUGAACAAAGUUAUAUCACGAGUCAGUGAUGUAAUGGAUCAUGUAAUUAUGUAGUGGUAUAUCGUUAUUUAAGUGAUGUAAUGGAUUAAUAACUGAUGAUGCAGUGAACUAAGUUAUUAUGUAUUAUGGUGUAGUAUUAUAUCGAGUUUGUUGUUUCUACUUUUUGGUAUAACUGAAGCAGAUUAGUGCACUUGUGUUUUGUUAGACAUGCAUUAGGCUGAAAUAUAAACGUCCCGUGUUAUCUAAAUUCCUGGAAAUUUGAAUAUUUAGAUGGUGGAUAUGCAUUGCAUUUGGUUGCUAUUAUUCUGGGCUAAUUUGUGAAGCCUAACCUGGGUUCCCAGUUCUGAACCAUCAAAUCCAUCAACUUCCACUAGCGCCUGUACUUGGUCUUGUGCAGUGCUGCAUGUUGGGAAGGAGAAUUUAUUUUCAUAAUAUCCAUGUUGCCUGUUCAAGUCAAUACAGAAAUUGGCUCGUACAUAAGAAAUUUAAAUCUUCUUUAAAAAUUAUCUAUAAGGCACCAUGACGCAAGAGGUACUUUUUCUACCCAUCUUCUCUUUUCUGAACUGUGGUAAUUUUAUUGAUCUAUAUGCUACUGCAGUGAAGUCAGUGGUGAUGAGAUGUGCAUCGGACAAUGUUGGAAUCUCUGGCUCGGCUACACGGAUUUAGCAUGAUGAGAGGAUAAAGGUUGGUAUGUCCUAAGAUUUGCUACUUCAAUCUGAACUUGUGAAUGAUUGCCAUCUCUACCUGCAAAAACCGUUGGUUGUAACACUCCUGAUGAUGUGGCCUAACCAGCUGUUUUGAACGCAUUGAUAUAUGAUGAAAUUAUGUUUUAACUUCAAAAUGAGCACCAAGAGGUUUAUCAAUUUUCUGGAUCAUAAUUGAAGAAAAUGAGCACCAAGAACUUCUCCUGACCAUAAUUCAAGAAAUGAUCAGUACUUGAUUUAUUUUCUGUGAAUCACUAUUUAAACAGCACAGGACAGUCAGAACUGAUGGAAGCUGACACGCUUACUACACAGAGAGGUCAUGUAUAUGUUCAUGCUGUAUUUUGUUCAGAUGCUCUACUCUACACCUUGAGGGCUGUUAUGAAACCAGUGGUAACAACUGAAGAUGGUAACUACAAAUAAAUUGGACUGGUAUCAGGGAUCUUGAGGGUCAGUAAACAAAAUCUAGAGUUAUAGAUAAUCGAAACUAUAGUCACUGAACAUGAACUGAAAACGUGAAAUAGUAUAGAGCAGAGCAUCAUAAUGUGUUUUCUUAGUUUUCAUAUACCGAUUUGAUGCUUCAGAGCAAACAUUGAUGCUUAGCAUUGUCAAUGACAUGGGCGGAUCUAGUGUGGGGGUUAUGAGGGCCAUGGCCCCCACAAACAUUUUGCAAAAAGUUUUUUACUAGUGCAUGCAUAUGCAUAUAUCCAUUAUAUUAAUUUUUGGUGUAGCCUAAAUACUCCAGAACUUCAAUCCUCCGUAAUGUUGCCCCCACAUUGGUCGAAUUCUAGAUCCGCCACUGUUCAAUGACCCUAAAUCUGAAACUUAUUUGCUUGUGAGACAUGUUCAACUGAAUUUGGAAGCAUCUGAACCCACCUUUACUCGUGCAGGUGAUCAAUGAAGGUUUCAGUGAAGGAAUCAUCCAAGCGCAAGCAGAGAAGUUCACCAUUAAUGAUGAUGCUAAUUUUCCUAAACAGUCAAUACAUUGUUCUUAUAUUGACUGGCUUCCGCUUCGAGUCCCAACAUGACAAAUGAAGCUUGAGCAUCGUCUAACUAUACAAAGUUGAAAGGAUCAGGCAUCAGUGGGCCCCAACCCGGUCCUAUAUCUUGUAUGGAGCUUGAGGGAAAGGCUGAGUGGCUGACCAGUGUUACAUGGUGCUUCUGGGCUUUGCAUUUUUAUGUUUACAUGCUAGUUUAUGUUGCAGUAGCAUGAUGUCAACUUUUUCUGUAUCUUGCUAGGCAUUAUAUACAAGUUUUACGGCCAUUUGUACUUUGAUGCAUUUGCGGUAUAUUAAACAGUCUCCUGUUCCUGCUAUUUGCUACUCAUUUGUAGUAAAUUUAAAUCAGAAUAUUGUGGUUAAGUGUACAACACAUGGUUGUAAUGUGUGAUGUAAAAAGAUGUAACAACCGAGAAGCAACAUGUUUUAUUAGGAAUUGAUUUUGCAUCAUAAUCAUUUCAUCAGAAUUUAAUUUAAUUUGAAAUGAGGAUUUAUUCAACCCUCAUAAUUUUUCCUUAAGGGCUAAAAUCCAAGACAUUCUUCAAUAAAACAAAAUGUCCUUCUCAACCUUAAUAUGAUUCCAAAAUUGUUGAAUAUUUUGUUGUGCCUUUUUUUUAGGGAUUGUUGUGCCUUCGUGUUGAAAAGGGUGCUCAACUGACAAGCACUGUUAUGAGUUUCAUUAUUUGUAGAAUUACGAGUAUUAUUAGAGAGAGAGAGAGAGAGAGAGAGAGAGAGAGAGAGAGAGAGAGAGAGGUAGGUUUGUGCACCACCGUCGAUAUGAUGACUCUGCUAGAGUUGCUCUAAGAGUGAUGAGGAGGACCACCAUAGUUCAAGAAAAUGAAAAUAUGAUUCCAAAAUUGUUGAAUAUUUUGUUGUGCCUUUGUGUUGAAAUGGGUGCUCAACUGACAAUCUCUCUUAUGAGUUUCAUUAUCUUUAGAAUUACAAAUAUUAUUAGAGAGAGGGAGAGAGAGAGAGAGAUAGGUUUGUGAUAUGAUGACUCUGCUAGAGUUGCUCUAAGAGUGAUGAGGAUGACCACCAUAGUUCAAGAAAAUGAAAAUAAGCAAUGAAAGAGCCAAACAAUUUUUUUUUUCUGCUAAAGGGUGGAUUUUAUUAACUCAAAAUGAAGUAUGAAGUGAAUACAAACACAAUGAGCCCACACCCGGCCUCUGCAUAGCUAGAAUGCAUACAACCAACACCAAUGCACACAAACGAAAAUCACACCGGCAACUAGCAAAGUCAAACAUGACCGAAGCUAUGCCUUAGUGGACUAAAAAGAAAAGAAAAAAAAACUCCGAAGCGAUCAAAUCAGUGAUCAACUAUCUACAAUAGCAACCAUAUCUGCACCAAUCAUUUUUUGACAUCAGCAAUGAUGUCGCCACCACUUUCCGCGAUCCCAACAACUACAUACCUAUUUAGGAGCGAUCCAUCCUAUCCUUUGCCCACAGCGAAACAUAGAAAUGAUCUUAAAUAAAGACCACUCGGCCUUAGUCCAGCCCAAAGCAGCAACAAUAUAAGAAGGAAAAAAACAACAAAGAGGAAAGGCAUCGGGCAGGCGAGGCCUCAACGGCGACUUGGGUGACUCGUGGCGACGGUGGCUUGGGAUUCAUGGCGCAAAACAGUGUGAAUAUCCUUUUUUUUGCGCAUAACGAAACUUUCAUUACUUAACUAGAGUCAUUACAAUCCUGUUGACAUAAGAUGUCAACCUCAUCAGGGGCACAAUGAAGCCAAACAGCAGUUUUGGGCAGUAAACGGCCCAUUUGUGCGAGAGCGUGGCUAGCUUUAUUCUGCUCUCGUUUAAUCACCCAGUGUGAAUAUCAAUUAUUGUAAUGGCCAAAACAGUGUGGAUACCAUCUUACAUAAUGAUUGGGGAGGUCAUGUUUAAGCAUUGCUACUAUUUUUGUAAUCAAGUGGCUCAAGUGCUAGCUAAUUUUUAUUACUAUAAUAAAUCUUCUUUUAGUUGACUGGACAAGCCUUCUGACUACAGUAAGGUCGUAAACGAUGUAAACUUAUUUUAAUUUCAAUAAAGCUAGCCAUAAUGAGCAUCUCAUAGGAAAGAAAGUGUGACGCCCCCGAUUCAAUCGUACACUAAUCAUGCACGCAAAUGUGUACGAUCAAGAUCAGGGACUCACGGGAAGAUAUCACAACACAACUCUACAAAUAAAAUAAGUCAUACAAGCAUCAUAAUACAAGCCAGGAGCCUCGAGGGCUCGAAUACAAGUGCUCGAUCAUAGACGAGUCAGCGGAAGCAACAAUAUCUGAGUACAAACAUAAGUUAAACAAGUUUGCCUUAAGAAGGCUAGCACAAACUGGAAUACAGAUCGAAAGAGGCGCAGGCCUCCUGCCUGGGAUCCUCCUAAACUACUCCAGGUCGUCAUCAGCGGGCAACACGUAGUAGUAGGCACCUCCAGUGUAGUAGGGGUCGUCGUCGACGGUGGCGUCUGGCUCCUGGACUCCAGCAUCUGGUUGCGACAACCAGAAAGGAAGGGAAAGGGAAAAAAAGGGGGGAGAAAGCAACCGUGAGUACUCAUCCAAAGUACUCGCAAGCAAGGAACUACACUACAUAUGCAUGGGUAUAUGUGUAAGGAGGCCAUAUCAGUGGACUGAACUGCAGAAUGCCAGAAUAAGAGGGGGAUAGCUAAUCCUGUCGAAGACUACGCUUCUGGCAGCCUCCGCCUUACAGCAUGUAGAAGAGGGUAGAUUGAAGUCCUCCAAGUAGCAUCUUCAAGUAGCAUCUCCAAGUAACAUCUCCAAGUAGCAUCGCAUAGCAUAAUCCUACCCGGCAAUCCUCUCCUCGUCGCCCUGCGGAAAAGCGAUCACCGGGUUGUCUGUGGAACUUGGAAGGGUGUGUUUUAUUAAGUAUCCGGUUCUAGUUGUCAUAAGGUCAAGGUACAACUCCAAGUCGUCCUGUUACCGAAGAUCACGGCUAUUCGAAUAGAUUAACUUCCCUGCAGGGGUGCACCAACUUACCCAACACGCUUGAUCCCAUUUGGCCGGACACACUUUCCUGGGUCAUGCCCGGCCGCGGAAGAUCAACACGUCGCAGCCCCACCUAGGCAAAACAGAGAGGCCAGCACGCCAGUCUAAACCUAAGCGCACAGGGGUCUGGGCCCAUCGCCCAUAGCACACCUGCACGUUGCGUACGCGGCCGAAAGCAGACCUAGCCUAGUGGCGUUCCAGUCCAAUUCGGCGCGCGCCGCUCCGUCGCUGACGUCUGAAGUGCUUCGGCUGAUACCACGACGUCGGGAUACCCAUAACUACUCCCACGUAGAUGGUUAGUGCGUAUAGGCUCAUAGCCGACUCAGAUCAAAUACCAAGAUCUCGUUAAGCGUGUUAAGUAUCCGCGAACGCCGAACAGGGCCAGGCCCACCUGUCUCCUAGGUGGUCUCAACCUGCCCUGUCGCUCCGCCACAAAGUAACAGUCGGGGGCCGUCGGGAACCCAGGCCCACCUCUACCGGGAUGGAGCCACCUGUCCUUUCAGCCCCCUCAUCAGAAUCACUUGCGGGUACUCAUCGAGCUGACCCGACUUUAGUCACCAUCUGUAUAGUAUGUAUGUAUGUAUAGUAUAUACCCGUGAUCACCUCCCGAGUGAUCACGGCCCAAUAGUAUAGCGAGGCAGACUAACAAGAAUGUAGGGCCAAUGAUGAUAAACUAGCAUCCUAUACUAAGCAUUUAGGAUUGCAGGUAAGGUAUCAACAGAUGUAGCGACAAUGUCAGGCUAUGCAUCAGAAUAGGAUUAACGAAAGCAGUAACAUGCUACACUACUCUAAUGCAAGCAGUAUAGAGGAGAAUAGGCGAUAUCUGGUGAUCAAGGGGGGGGCUUGCCUGGUUGCUCUGGCAAGAGAGAGGGGUCGUCAACUCCAUAGUCGAACUGGGCAGCAGCAGCGUUGGUCUCGUAGUCUACCGAAGAGAAGAGGGGGAAGAAACAAUAAAUACAAUGCAAACAUAAGCAAGGCGACGCAAGACAUGACAAAGAGCGGUGCUAGGUGUGUUCUAACGCAGUAUGGGGUGAUGCUGGCGAAGGGGGAAAUCGUCCGGGAAAGUAUUCCCGGUGUUCCGUGUUUUCGGGCAGAGGAGCCGGAGGGGGAAAGUUGCGAGUUUGAUAUGUUAGGGGUGUGUGGCGGACGAACGGGUUGCGUAUCCGGAUUCGUCUCGUCGUUUUGAGCAACUUUCAUGUUGAAAAUAUUUUAAUCCGAGUUACGGAUUAAAAGAUAUGAUUUUCUAAAGAUUUUAUUAAUUUCUGGAAUUUAAUUAAUUAUUUAAUCCAACAUUAUCCAGAAUAGUAAAUGAUGACAUCAGCAUGACAUCAGAGUGAUGUCAGCAGUCAACAGGGGUUGACUGAGUCAACCCUGACAUGUGGGUCGCGUUCGUCAUACUCUAUUAACUUAAUUAGCCUAAUCAAAGUUAAUUAACCUUAGUUAAUUAGGUUAAUUAGUGGUUAGGGUUAAUUAAACAGAAUUAAUUAGAUUAAUUAAAUACUUAAUUAAUUAAUUAAUUAACUAAUUAGUUAAUUAGUUUUAAUUCAUUUUCAUUUUAUUUUUAUUUUUGUUUUAAUAAAAACCGUUCUUUUUAGGGGGGUGGGGCCCCCAUGUCAUUGGCCCAGGGCCAAACGGGUGCGGGUCCAAUGGGCAGGCGGGCGACGGGCGCCCGUAGCCUGCCCGGGGCGGGGCGUGGCCGUGGCCACGGCGGGGUUGCCGCAGCAGGGCACCAGGAGCACCGGGGAGGCGUGGCCGUGGGCGCGGCGAGGGCGGUCGGCGCAGGCCACCGGGGCACAGUGGGGCGCCGGCCAACGGUCGCCGGCGCAAGGUCGAGGCAAGGCACGACCAAGAGGGAACGGGGCCGCAACCGGGGCUAGCGGCGCCCAAGACNNNNNNNNNNNNNNNNNNNNNNNNNNNNNNNNNNNNNNNNNNNNNNNNNNNNNNNNNNNNNNNNNNNNNNNNNNNNNNNNNNNNNNNNNNNNNNNNNNNNNNNNNNNNNNNNNNNNNNNNNNNNNNNNNNNNNNNNNNNNNNNNNNNNNNNNNNNNNNNNNNNNNNNNNNNNNNNNNNNNNNNNNNNNNNNNNNNNNNNNNNNNNNNNNNNNNNNNNNNNNNNNNNNNNNNNNNNNNNNNNNNNNNNNNNNNNNNNNNNNNNNNNNNNNNNNNNNNNNNNNNNNNNNNNNNNNNNNNNNNNNNNNNNNNNNNNNNNNNNNNNNNNNNNNNNNNNNNNNNNNNNNNNNNNNNNNNNNNNNNNNNNNNNNNNNNNNNNNNNNNNNNNNNNNNNNNNNNNNNNNNNNNNNNNNNNNNNNNNNNNNNNNNNNNNNNNNGGGGGGGAGGGGCCAAGUGGGGAGGGGGAAUGGGCCAGGGGGAAUGGGCCAGGGGUUUUCCCUUCCCCCCUUUUUUUGUCUUUCCUUUUUCUUUUAUUAUUUCUCUUUUCUGUUUUUAGUUUACUUAAAAUGCCAAAGCAUUUUACCAAAAUUAGUGCACCCCACCAUAAUUAGGUUAGCUAUUUUAGACAACCCCCGAACAUUUUUAGUCUUUGUUUUGAAACCUUUUAUCUUUGCUUUUGUUUUGAUUUUGAAUUCGAACCGGUUUCGAACUAACGCGAGUUUAUCCACAGUAACCGAGGUGACGUGGCAACAUUAGUGGGGAUUACUGUAGCAUAAUUACCCGGGCGUCACAAUUCUCCUCCACUACAAGAAAUCUCGUCCCGAGAUUUAAGCGGUGGAGUAAGGGGCGAAGGUGUUGGUAGCGAAAAACCUAACGAGUCUUCUCGGUCUUGGCUUCCCUUUCGAAGAGGUUGAUCCCUUUCGUUGAUGUCUUCAUUUCACUGCUUCAAGUCACCAUGAUCAAUUUGUCAUCCUUUCUUCGGGAUCUCCAUCGUACUUACGAAUAGGUAAGGAGCAGCUCUACAACGAUAGGAUGUUACAAGGGAAAAUCUUCUGGGGGUUUCCCAAGUAUGAACAUAUGAGUAUCUCUCGAGUUGAACAAAUGAAACACAUCGAGAGCAAAGUAAGACGGUGCAAUAAGAAGUUUCAAGCGGAUAGGCAAUCGUUCAUUGCCUGAAACAGAGUGUGAAUGGGGUUCAGAGCAACAGGAAUAAGUAUUGUGUCCGAUACCAGAAUUGAUCACUAGGAAGGUGGCUCGCGAAUCACAUACGAAGUCAAGCUAUAGGAAUAACUUUGGCAACAGGGUGUAUAGGAGAGUCAGGUUUCGAUCCUGUGAAACUGUGGGUUAUGGGCCCACCAUGUGGUUCUUUUUUUUAAUAGGAGCAGUGACAUCUUGCACGGUCAUGAUAGCAAGGCAUGUCAGGGAGUACCAUGUCAGCUAUGUCGGCAACAACGUUGGUACCAAGGGCGAGGGACGAAGAGAACCAUUUUCCUGCUCGUUGAAACGAGGCGGACCAAUAGGCAAGGUUCCCGUCCAUCGGCGGUUACCGGAAUGUCAUCAACAAUAGUAACAAGGUCUUGCUGACCGAGUGGUACAUCGAGGUGUUUGCACAAGUAGUGGAUUAUUACUGCUUAUAUCAUAUAGAUCAUCGAAAAGGUUUAAACAAACCAAUGGAAGGAAAAUAUGAUCAUCAGAUUAAACAGAACAAUGGAAAGGAAAAUAUGUUUAAACACAGAUUUCGAGGGUAUAUCCUUCCCAAGGACAAGAAGAGCAAGAUAUCCAUGACAGGAUAUAAAGUAGAAAACCAUUUAGGUAAGGGGGGGAGGAAUAUCAUGAUAUUACUCAUACAACGGUGUUAGGAUAAUUGAUAAUUAAAAUAUAGCAUCGUGCUUCAAACGUGCCUGUUGAAAAUCGGAGUACCAUUGACAUGCUUCGAGAUAGCAGUGACAUGGUCUUCAGGUGAAGAUCAGACUUUGGAAACACGAAGGAUCCAUCAAGAAUAACUUGUAGAAUAAGUCUUACAAUUUCCUCAUGGAUGAAUGGAUAACCUUGCUGAAAAGGAAUCUAUAAUGAUAGGUCCUCCAGCCGNNNNNNNNNNGGAGUACCAUUGACAUGCUUCGAGAUAGCAGUGACAUGGUCUUCAGGUGAAGAUCAGACUUUGGAAACACGAAGGAUCCAUCAAGAAUAACUUGUAGAAUAAGUCUUACAAUUUCCUCAUGGAUGAAUGGAUAACCUUGCUGAAAAGGAAUCUAUAAUGAUAGGUCCUCCAGCCCGGGGGGGGGGGGUGCUAGGCAUGACAUCAUGUUACCGGGUCAUCAAAGGAUCAACGUCAUAACUCUUGGAAAGUUGUCCCAACCAUCAUAUCUGACCGAGAUUCAGAUCCGAUUGGUGUCAGGAUACCUGAGAUUCAGGAUGUCUGAGAAGAAAAGGUGCAACACAAAUCGUUGAAAUGGCAUUGCAAGCUUCUCGGGAAAUGAACUAUGGGAGCGGGUUUCUGAAGCAAUAGUUCACCAUUACACCAAGGAGAGGACAAGGAGGUGUCUGGUGAACUCAACGGCAAUUCACCGAGAUUCCCAAAAGAUGGAUUUCCACCAUUAAGUGAACAAUGGGAUAACAUUUGUUAGAUCAAAUGAUAUAAGGAAGUAUGCUCGAGGAAAACAUACACAAUUAAACACUGGUUGAAGGGUGCGCCCGAAGUACGGGUUAGGUUGCACGACCAAUGUUAGAAUGGUGAUUCAAUUAGCGAAGGACUUAGAAUGAACUAUCGCCCAUUCACUUCAAAGCAAUAGGGUUGCUAGAAGUUUUGAAUUCACACGUCAUAGCUCCAUUGUCGGUAUUCCGGUUGAAAACAAUACGGGGACCAAGGAAUGAACGAAGAUGGCAAGAAGUAUUAAGAUAUCAAGAAUUAUUAAGAGGUGGUGAAAUUCUCACCACAUUCUUGACAAAAAGUGAUGGUAAUACUUCCGAGGUAAGGAAGAUCAACUGCUAGGUAGCAGUGACCUCAAGGUUUACACAAAACGCGAACAAGUUGUGUUGAACGGAAGGCAAUAAAGUGGUCGAUGAGAACAGGAAUCAUCGAGGGGCAAGGAUGGUAUUACCCAUCAUGAAUUCAAUUGAAUUCCUGGAAGAGCUCAUAAGGUUGAUGAUGAUCACGACACAAUUGUCGAGAGAUUUCAUGCAGAUGUAGUCAAUCAGCGACGACAUCAAGUCAAAGGAAUGAUGAAGCAAGAGGUUAUUGGAACCACAGUUACGACACAAACUCGAACUCAAGCUUGUUGUUUAAGGUGAAAGGGUAUGACGAGGAAAAAUCGACGUAAGGUUAGUUCAUCGUCGAAAAUUGGUGCUCCGAGAAUAAGGACCAGGUAGCACCGUUAGAAUCGUCACGACAAUGAUAUAGCCAAACAGGCUAGGAAUGGCGUGAUCGGGUACAAACUCGUACUUAUAGAAGCUUACUGAAGAGUUGUUGAACCGUAGAGCGGGCUCGGUUCAGUUAUCGGUGUCUUUGAGUGUUCAAUAACUCAGAGCCCGCGAAAAAUUGGAAUCAGUGGGAAGGUAGCACUUGAUGAAGAACUCAUAAAAAGUUAUGCAGUUCCAUGAUAAUCUCGAGAUACCAGGGGGUAAUACUCGACACAAGAUCAAAGUAAAGGUUGGACUGGUGUAUUGAUCCAUAGAAGACAAUUGUUUUAACUUGUCCGAGAAAUGAGAUCAAAGAAGAACAAUCAUGGUCGGAACCACGGUUGCAAAAGGCCAGAUCCUAGAUAUAGGAUGAACUUAUACCAAAGGAAUAAUUUAUUUAAGAGAAGCUUUAAUGAUAAGAUCUACAUCGUGUCCAUGGGCAUGAACACAAGUUCAAGGUCGACUCCCACUUCUCCAAUGCAUAACCUUUCAUUCACUUCUCACGUUCGAUGAAGUUGCAGUGUUGAAAUUUUAUCUGGUGAAGCACCAGAAGAGUAUGACUCGUGAAAACUUUCGGGUUCACACGGUUUAGAGAAGGCAUAUGUUCAAUCCAUAGGGGCUUCUUAGAAACAUAUACCACAAGUUUCAAGAGUAAAUAACACAAGCCCGAAAGCAGAGCAUGGUUGGCCAAGCAGAGGAUACAACUUAACAAAGGCAUUAUGUAUCAGGGGAAGAACUCACAAGGUGAUCAAAUGUGAAGGACACUGUCGGAUAACAAUCCAAGAAAGGACUUGAUGGUCCACAAAGGAUCUGAUACGAGUAUCGGUACACAACUAGAGGAAGAAGAAUGCAAGGAGAUCAGAUUAUAGAAACAACUGACUAACUCAAUUGUCAAAUGCAAAGGAAUUAUGAUUUCCAAAUCAAGGGAUCAGAAGCAAUGCUCUGAUUAGGGGUGGAUAAGUUGAAUAGCCUUAGGGUACAAUCAAAGACAAUUGGAUUGGUCGAGAACCAGUUCCAGUUAAAAGAAUGGCAGCUUAGCCGGAAAAGUAAUUUAUAAGGAUCAAUGAUGAUUGCGUGUAUUCGCAAACAUAUUGAGUCAACAGACUCAAAAUGAUAAUGACAAGGAAUGUCAUUAAGACUACGAGACUUAUGGGAUUAACCAUAAUGCAAGCAAGCAAGAAUUUCAAGAGCCAAAGGCUCCAGAGGAUUUUCGGAAGAUCGAAUAUUAUUUUAAAGACUUUUGUGAAACACAUGAACAACUGGGGAUGAGCGGAUACUCAAUAAGUGCGAGAAUUAUCCAUAGGGGUAUUCAGGUGACAAAGAACAGCAAGGCGAUAAGCUCAAAGGAUUAUCGAAACAACGACGAGUGUUUCGAGGUAUCUGGUAAUAACAAGACCAACUGGGGAUGAAUGUACGAAUAACAACUGCAAGUAGUUAUCCACUAGGGUUGACGGUGGAAGGGGAAUUGCAAAUGCGAUGAACAUAAGUUCUCGGGUUAACAGCGAAGAGUAUCUUCAGGGUCUUCACGUGCCGCAGACGAUCAUCAUUAAUAAGGGGCUCUCCGGGUGAAAGUAUUUUCGAGAACCUAAAGUCAGAUUUUAGUAAAAAUCGUUUAACCCGAAUAGAAGAGAUGUCAGAGUCCCAGAGCAUAGGUCGAGGAAUAAAAGAUCCUACUACCACCCAAUGGCGACGUGGGCCCGUAAGGCACACAGCCAAGUUAGUAAAAGUUUUGCAAUGACUAGACUCAACUUCGGCCAAGGAGUUGGAAAGGGGGAUUCCUACAGGCAGUCGGCUCUGAUACCAACUUGUGACGCCCCCGAUUCAAUCGUACACUAAUCAUGCACGCAAAUGUGUACGAUCAAGACCAGAGACUCACGGGAAGAUAUCACAACACAACUCUACAAAUAAAAUAAGUCAUACAAGCAUCAUAAUACAAGCCAGGGGCCUCGAGGGCUCGAAUACAAGUGCUCGAUCAUAGACGAGUCAGCGGAAGCAACAAUAUCUGAGUACAGACAUAAGUUAAACAAGUUUGCCUUAAGAAGGCUAGCACAAACUGGGAUACAGAUCGAAAGAGGCGCAGGCCUCCUGCCUGGGAUCCUCCUAAACUACUCCAGGUCGUCAUCAGCGGGCAGCACGUAGUAGUAGGCACCUCCAGUGUAGUAGGGGUCGUCGUCGACGGUGGCGUCUGGCUCCUGGACUCCAGCAUCUGGUUGCGACAACCAGAAAGGAAGGAAAAGGGAAAAAAAAGGGGGGAGAAAGCAACCGUGAGUACUCAUCCAAAGUACUCGCAAGCAAGGAACUACACUACAUAUGCAUGGGUAUAUGUGUAAGGAGGCCAUAUCAGUGGACUGAACUGCAGAAUGCCAGAAUAAGAGGGGGAUAGCUAAUCCUGUCGAAGACUACGCUUCUGGCAGCCUCCGCCUUACAGCAUGUAGAAGAGGGUAGAUUGAAGUCCUCCAAGUAGCAUCUUCAAGUAGCAUCUCCAAGUAACAUCUCCAAGUAGCAUCGCAUAGCAUAAUCCUACCCGGCAAUCCUCUCCUCGUCGCCCUGCGGAAAAGCGAUCAUCGGGUUGUCUGUGGAACUUGGAAGGGUGUGUUUUAUUAAGUAUCCGGUUCUAGUUGUCAUAAGGUCAAGGUACAACUCCAAGUCGUCCUGUUACCGAAGAUCACGGCUAUUCGAAUAGAUUAACUUCCCUGCAGGGGUGCACCAACUUACCCAACACGCUUGAUCCCAUUUGGCCGGACACACUUUCCUGGGUCAUGCCCGGCCGUGGAAGAUCAACACGUCGCAACCCCACCUAGGCAAAACAGAGAGGCCAGCACGCCGGUCUAAACCUAAGCGCACAGGGGUCUGGGCCCAUCGCCCAUAGCACACCUGCACGUUGCGUACGCGGCCGAAAGCAGACCUAGCCUAGUGGCGUUCCAGUCCAAUUCGGCGCGCGCCGCUCCGUCGCUGACGUCUGAAGUGCUUCGGCUGAUACCACGACGUCGGGAUACCCAUAACUACUCCCACGUAGAUGGUUAGUGCGUAUAGGCUCAUAGCCGACUCAGAUCAAAUACCAAGAUCUCGUUAAGCGUGUUAAGUAUCCGCGAACGCCGAACAGGGCCAGGCCCACCUGUCUCCUAGGUGGUCUCAACCUGCCCUGUCGCUCCGCCACAAAGUAACAGUCGGGGGCCGUCGGGAACCCAGGCCCACCUCUACCGGGAUGGAGCCACCUGUCCUUUCAGCCCCCUCAUCAGAAUCACUUGCGGGUACUCAUCGAGCUGACCCGACUUUAGUCACCAUCUGUAUAGUAUGUAUGUAUGUAUAGUAUAUACCCAUGAUCACCUCCCGAGUGAUCACGACCCAAUAGUAUAGCGAGGCAGACUAACAAGAAUGUAGGGCCAAUGAUGAUAAACUAGCAUCCUAUACUAAGCAUUUAGGAUUGCAGGUAAGGUAUCAACAGAUGUAGCGACAAUGUCAGGCUAUGCAUCAGAAUAGGAUUAACGAAAGCAGUAACAUGCUACACUACUCUAAUGCAAGCAGUAUAGAGGAGAAUAGGCGAUAUCUGGUGAUCAAGGGGGGGGGGCUUGCCUGGUUGCUCUGGCAAGAGAGAGGGGUCGUCAACUUCGUAGUCGAACUGGGCAGCAACAGCGUCGGUCUCGUAGUCUACCGAAGAGAAGAGGGGGAAGAAACAAUAAAUACAGUGCAAACAUAAGCAAGGCGACGCAAGACAUGACAAAGAGCGGUGCUAGGUGUGUUCUAACGCAGUAUGGGGUGAUGCUGGCGAAGGGGGAAAUCGUCCGGGAAAGUAUUCCCGGUGUUCCGUGUUUUCGGGCAGAGGAGCCGGAGGGGGAAAGUUGCGAGUUUGAUAUGUUAGGGGUGUGUGGCGGACGAACGGGUUGCGUAUCCGGAUUCGUCUCGUCGUUCUGAGCAACUUUCAUGUUGAAAAUAUUUUAAUCCGAGUUACGGAUUCAAAGAUAUGAUUUUCUAAAGAUUUUAUUAAUUUCUGGAAUUUAAUUAAUUAUUUAAUCCAACAUUAUCCAGAAUAGUAAAUGAUGACGUCAGCAUGACAUCAGAGUGAUGUCAGCAGUCAACAGGGGUUGACUGAGUCAACCCUGACAUGUGGGUCCCGUUCGUCAUACUCUAUUAACUUAAUUAGCCUAAUCAAAGUUAAUUAACCUUAGUUAAUUAGGUUAAUUAGUGGUUAGGGUUAAUUAAACAGAAUUAAUUAGAUUAAUUAAAUACUUAAUUAAUUAAUUAAUUAAUUAACUAAUUAGUUAAUUAGUUUUAAUUCAUUUUCAUUUUAUUUUUAUUUUUGUUUUAAUAAAAACCGUUCUUUUUAGGGGGGUGGGGCCCCCAUGUCAUUGGCCCAGGGCCAAACGGGUGCGGGUCCAAUGGGCAGGCGGGCGACGGGCGCCCGUAGCCUGCCCGGGGCGGGGCGUGGCCGUGGCCACGGCGGGGUUGCCGCAGCGGGGCACCAGGAGCACCGGGGAGGCGUGGUCGUGGGCGCGGCGAGGGCGGUCGGCGCAGGNNNNNNNNNNNNNNNNNNNNNNNNNNNNNNNNNNNNNNNNNNNNNNNNNNNNNNNNNNNNNNNNNNNNNNNNNNNNNNNNNNNNNNNNNNNNNNNNNNNNNNNNNNNNNNNNNNNNNNNNNNNNNNNNNNNNNNNNNNNNNNNNNNNNNNNNNNNNNNNNNNNNNNNNNNNNNNNNNNNNNNNNNNNNNNNNNNNNNNNNNNNNNNNNNNNNNNNNNNNNNNNNNNNNNNNNNNNNNNNNNNNNNNNNNNNNNNNNNNNNNNNNNNNNNNNNNNNNNNNNNNNNNNNNNNNNNNNNNNNNNNNNNNNNNNNNNNNNNNNNNNNNNNNNNNNNNNNNNNNNNNNNNNNNNNNNNNNNNNNNNNNNNNNNNNNNNNNNNNNNNNNNNNNNNNNNNNNNNNNNNNNNNNNNNNNNNNNNNNNNNNNNNNNNNNNNNNNNNNNNNNNNNNNNNNNNNNNNNNNNNNNNNNNNNNNNNNNNNNNNNNNNNNNNNNNNNNNNNNNNNNNNNNNNNNNNNNNNNNNNNNNNNNNNNNNNNNNNNNNNNNNNNNNNNNNNNNNNNNNNNNNNNNNNNNNNNNNNNNNNNNNNNNNNNNNNNNNNNNNNNNNNNNNNNNNNNNNNNNNNNNNNNNNNNNNNNNNNNNNNNNNNNNNNNNNNNNNNNNNNNNNNNNNNNNNNNNNNNNNNNNNNNNNNNNNNNNNNNNNNNNNNNNNNNNNNNNNNNNNNNNNNNNNNNNNNNNNNNNNNNNNNNNNNNNNNNNNNNNNNNNNNNNNNNNNNNNNNNNNNNNNNNNNNNNNNNNNNNNNNNNNNNNNNNNNNNNNNNNNNNNNNNNNGGGGGGGAGGGGCCAAGUGGGGAGGGGGAAUGGGCCAGGGGGAAUGGGCCAGGGGUUUUCCCUUCCCCCCUUUUUUUGUCUUUCCUUUUUCUUUUAUUAUUUCUCUUUUCUGUUUUUAGUUUACUUAAAAUGCCAAAGCAUUUUACCAAAAUUAGUGCACCCCACCAUAAUUAGGUUAGCUAUUUUAGACAACCCCCGAACAUUUUUAGUCUUUGUUUUGAAACCUUUUAUCUUUGCUUUUGUUUUGAUUUUGAAUUCGAACCGGUUUCGAACUAACGCGAGUUUAUCCACAGUAACCGAGGUGACGUGGCAACAUUAGUGGGGAUUACUGUAGCAUAAUUACCCGGGCGUCACAGAAAGUGACCUACAAGAAAAAACGUGCUAACACCUUUUAGGGCCUGUUUGAUUCCAAUAAGUCACAUGACUCAUAAGUCAGGUGACUUAAAACCAAUGACUUAUAAGUCACGCCUGAUUGGUUGUCACGCGACUUAUAAGUCACCUGACCACACCUUUCCAUCUUGUUUUUUUAUAUAAAGAUGGUGGGACCCAUGCAAAAAGGGGUGACUUGUAAGUUUUAAGUUUGGAUGGAGCAACUUAUGACUUAUAAGUUGGGAUGACUUAUAAGUUGGAUCUGUUUGGCAAAAUAAGUCAUUUUUUUCACUUUUCGACUUAUAAGUUGGUGACUUAUUUGGAACCAAACAGGCCCUUAACUUAGACGUUGGCGCGAACCAACCUCUAGUUGGAUGAUUAGAGAGACUGUGAUAUCCCCAGCCCAGUAGGGUUCAAGUCUUGGUACUUGCGUCUGUAUUAUGUUAAAAAAAACUUGGGCCUUACCCUUCCAAAUCUGAAACGAUAUUAGGUGUGCUUGUAUGCGUUUAUAGAGGUGAGUGUAUGCGCGUGUAUACAAGCGCUUGCGUCUGUACUAUGUUAAAAAAAAUUAGGCCUUGGUCCUCCCAAAUCUGAAAUGAUAUUAAAUUAAAUUAAAGUUCACCGGCCUUAGCCCAGCCCAAAGCAGCAGAAGUCUCGAGCGCGGCGACUAGGGUUAGCCUCAUCGACCUCGCCGGCGGCGGCGGCGACUGGGUUACUCGUGGCGACGGUGGCUUGGGAUUCAUGGCGCACGUAGAGGAGGAGGAGGUCGUGGACAUGGAGCCCCUCUUCUUUAGUGAGGCGUACGUGGAGAAGAUGGUGGCGGAUGCGGAGGAGGAGGAAGAGAGGUGUCGGCGGGAGGAAGAGGAGAAGAUGCGGAAGGAGAAGGAGUACCGGCGGAGACGCGAGGCGCACGAAGCGGUCAUGGACUCCAUCAUCGAGCACGAUCCCAAGGUCGAGCGCGACGUCUACACCCGGUUCUUUCUCAGAGAUUUCUCCGUCUUUGACAUCGACGAGGAGUGUAAGUAGCCUCCAUCUUCAUUGUAUUUUUCUUGGCUAAUAGUGCUAAGUUUCUAAAUUUCUGAUGUAUGGUAACUGAAUUACGUUACAGUAGGAUGUCUCUCACCUGUAUAAUCGUCUAUUAGGAGAAUGCUCGACAAUGUUCAUUAUUGAUGGAUAGCAGUAAACGGGAGAUUGGAUCUUUUGCCCCACUUUACUUGGGCAUUAGAUGAUUUGCCCCAUUUUACAUAGGAUUAGAUCAUUUGCCUCACUUUUCAUUUUUCUUUUGAUGAUUUGCCCUUUUCAAUUACUGUAAUCAUUUUUUAUUUUGUAUCCCUUUUUUCUCCAUGUGAAAAGACACAAUUGCCCCUGUGGCUAAUUUACAAUUUGACACUGUACAAAUCUUUUUUCUUUACAAGCCUGUAUCCAACCGAAGCAACUAAUUAACAGGGAACAAAUCACAUUACUUUCUUUACAUGGCUUUAUCCAACGGAACCAACUACUAACAAAUCAUAGAUUGAUUUUGUUGUGUCGUGGUGUUCAUGGCUAGUGGAGAGGCGGAUCCACCGCCGGCCCCCAAGCCAUCAACUCCGACGACCCCUGCACAGCGAGGCUUCACACAGAUGACAACUGAGACGAUCCCACAGACUGCCGGACAGGAAGGCGACUGUUGCGUCCAUGGAUCACCACGAUCUGCUCCAGAUUGGUCAGUAUAUUAUCUCCCCUUCCUCCCACCCCACGCCAAACACACACACAGUGCCACACGGAUCCAGGGUUUGAACCUCUUGGCAUCUCCUCGCUAGGCAGCCCCUAACGCUGCUACACUUGUAGUAACCCUGCAACUGCAACAAUAUGAUGGAAACAUAAUUAUCAGGAUUCAGGAGUAUAAAGUUCUGAAAUUAUCCAAAUCUUUAAACCAUGUGGAUGAAUACUUCUACGAGGAUCAUGAAUCCAAUGACAUGGGCAUACACUUAGUUUUACUGGAAAAUGAAUAUUAAACAAUUUGUUAAUUGUUUCCUAACAUAACAAAAUGACAGUUAGAUGAUGCCCUUAUGUCCCCUCCAUAACUGAAAAUCUUUUGUUCUCCAAGUAGGUCUCGGCCGGUGGCUAGCAAUGAUACAUAUGUAUCAACUAUGGAAGGAAGUGUUGAUUGGUCCAAGAUUGAGAUAGCACCAAUGAAUGAUGAAGAAAUUGAUGUUCCUAUAACAGAAGAGAACAUGUGCUCGGUGCUUGGCAUCAAUGAUGAACCUGAGCAUCGGAAAAUUGUAUCUGAAGCAGCUAUGAAAGCCUCCAUUGCAGAUGUUGAUGCAUGUGUGGCUGAUAUUGAUGAGGAUUUACUUGCUGAUGCGGCUCUUCCUGUGCCUGACCAUAUGCCUGAAGAGGAUCACUUUUGGUAUGAUAAGGAACAUCCUGUGAUAGAGGAAGGAUCUUUGUUUCGUUCAAUGAACGAGAUUAGGAUGCUCAUGAGAACAUUUGCUAUUAGAGGCAAGUUUGACAUCAAGACCAAGGAUAGUGACACUACUAGAUUUGUGGGUCACUGUAAAGGAAAUGCAUGUCCUUGGAGAAUAACUGCUAGGACAAUAGAAGAUGGAAAAACAGUCAGGGUACAAACUUAUCUAACAUGAAUCAUCUUUUAUGUUAAAACUAUCUUUUAUAAAUUACUUGCAACUAAUGGUUGGUAUUGUGUUUUCUGCAGGUAAACAAGAUAGUAAAGCCUCAUAAGUGUUCAUCAACCGCUGCAGUGAUUACAAGCAUGGCAGACCAAGCAUGGGUGGCAGAAAAGGCAAUGGGGUAUCUUCAAACUGAACCAAACAUUGGUGCCAGCGAGCUCCGAAAAAAGCUACAGGCCGAAUACAAAUGUACUAUUGGGUAUCAUACUGUUGACAAGGGAAAAGAAAGGGCCAAGAAUAGUUUAUAUGGGACCUGGGGAAAAAGCUUUCAGUCAUUAUUGAAUUUCAAAGCUGAGAUUGAUAAAAGAUCUCCUGGUAGCAUUGUCGAGGUUGAUGUCAAGAGGGAAGGAGGUGAAGUGCAUUUCCGCAGAUUUUUUAUGGCACUUAAGCCGUGCAUUGAUGGCUUCUUGGCUGGUUGUAGACCAUAUGUCAGUAUAGACUCCACAUUUUUGACUGGAAAGUGGAAUGGUCAAUUAGCAGCAUGUACAGCACUAGAUGGACAAAAUUGGAUGUUUCCUUUAGCAUUUGGUUUCUUUGGUACGGAGACCGAGGGUAACUGGAUUUGGUUUAUGCAACAACUGCAUAGGGCAAUAGGACAUCUUCAAACUCUAGCUAUUUGUACUGAUGCAUGCAAAGGGUUAGAGAAUGCAGUUAAAAUUGUGUUUCCUCAAGCUGAGCAAAGGGAAUGCUUUAGGCAUCUAAUGGCAAACUUCAAAAAGAAGUUUCACGGAGAUGUUUUUGGUCGCAUGUGGCCAGCAGCCAAGGCUUAUCAUCUGGAAACAUUUAAUUAUCAUAUGGGCAAGAUAUUUGAAGCUGAACCUGCAGUGAGUACCUACUUGUGUACCUAUCAUAACUUAAAGUGGAUGAGAUGUGACUUCAACACAGAAAUAAAAUGUGAUUACAUUCACAACAAUCUAGCUGAGUGCUUCAAUAGCUGGAUCAAAGGAACAAAGGAGCUGCCCAUGGAUGAGCUAGCCGAUGCAAUAAGAGAGAAAAUUAUGAUACUUGUUUAUAGAAGGAGAAGGAUUGGGGAAAUGCUCCAGGGAGAGAUAUUGCCUGCUAUCAUUCAACAAAUAAAUAAUAGAACUAGGCAACUUGACCAUUUGGUUGUUGGAAGAUCAACCGGAGAAAGUUGUGAGGUCAAGGACACUAGCAAGAAUAAUCUUAGGCAUGUUGUGAAGAUAGGCAGCCGUGAGUGCACCUGCCUAGAAUGGCAACACACUGGAAAGCCAUGUGAGCAUGCACUUGCAUUCCUUAUAGAGACGGCAGAUGUGAACUUUCAACCAUAUGUACAUGAGUACUACUCCGUGAGUAGGUUUCGGGCUGCCUAUGCUGGAGAGAUUGAACCAAUCACGGACAAGUCUCAAUGGCCUCAUGUUAAUCUAGAUUUUGAGAUGGUGCCACCGGAUUUAAAGAGCUCCGUUGGGAGACGGAGGAAGCAGAGAAUCAAAAGUUGCCUUGAAGAUGGUGGUGGCAGCAAACGGAAGAAAAAAGAUGAUAAUGGCAAAACAAAUGACCAAGAAGGAGGUGACAAAGAGAAGGAAAAGGAAAAGAAGAGAUUUGGCAGCAGAAAUAGGUGCAAAGAAUGUGGGAUAUUGGGGCACAGGAAAGCAACUUGCAAAAAAAAUGAAGCUAAAGAGAGGUAAACCAUGCACUAAUAUCUCCUUUAUAUUAGUAUCAAAUUAGUACUAUUAUACCAUUUCUAACAUCCGGUGUGACUGAACUUUCUAGUGAUGUGUCUGCUCGCGAGCUCGCUCCAGUUGUUGUUGCGACACCUACACGCACAACAACAAUCACACUGCCUCCCAGCCUUCAUAACAGCCCUGGGCCUAUCACAAGGAGGUACCUAUUAUAUUUGUCAUAAGCACAUUUGAUUCAUGCAAAAGAAAAAUCCUACUUUUAUAACAUUGGUGUGUAAACAUGCAGGAGGCUUGCUAUGGCCAUAGCUGGAGACGAUGCAUCACAGCCAUGUGGGACAAGUACUGUUAAUUCUACAGCAUCACCUACUUCUCACUUCCCUUCACGCUCUACGGCAUGCAAGAAAAAAUUGACCCCGAAGAGGAAGAAGCUCUCAUUUUAGUGCAUUCAAUUCUAUUUUAAAUUCGUAGAGGUGUUGAAAUUUGUCAAUUUCAAAGAUAUUGGCUCGAAAAAAUACUUUUUUGCUUGAUGUAAAUUCGGAUUAAUUUAUCAUGUCGCUUGAACCAAGCAAACCUUUUUGUGGCAUCAGUUCGUGAUUUCAGUGUGAUAUAUUCUCUCAAUUCCAUGUGCUAAGUGAACAUAUGUUGUCAGUCUAUUUUUUUUCCUAUGAAGAUGUUAUAUGCUGCCAAUUUCCAACGAAAUGCAUAUGCCAGGAUGCACAUCAUAUAUAUAGAUCUCUGACCAGUGACUAAAGUAGAUCCAGCAAAAGAUGAAGCAUAUAUAUUUUGAGUGUGAUACAAUUAAAGUAUGAAGCAUCUGGAGGAGAUAACUAAACAAAGCAUUUUAUAUAAUGUACCCAGCUCCAUGAUUGAAGCAGUACCAGCUGCUAGGGUAAUUAGUACUAUCAACACUGUCGUCCAGCCAUAGCUAUUACCGACCAACGAGCUGACACACAUCAAAACUGUAAAUCCAUUAAUCAUUGGAAGAAGGUAGUUUUUACCAGCAACGAGCGCACCAUCUGCCGAGCUGCAGCUCGAGCCCUGGAAUCCGCCCGUUCGCCGAGCUGGAGCGGGAGCCGCCGCGGCGGGCCGCCGAGCUGCAACGGGAGCCGCCGUCCCGGGCCGAGGAGCUGCAGCGGGAGCCACGGAACCCGCUGGUCCGCCGAGCUGCGGCGUGAGCCCCGGGAAUCGCCGGUCCGCCGAGCUGCGGCCGGAGCCGCCGCCCCAGGCCGAGGAGCCGCAGCGGGAGCCCCGGGAGCCGCCGGCGCCGGCCGACCAUCUGCGGGAGCUGCCGCGCCGGGCUGCUGCUGCCAAGAUGGGGGCCAAGGUGCCGUGGUCGGCCUCCUCUGGUAUGAGUAAAGAAGAACAGAGGAAAUGCGUUGAACUGGGGAACAGUGAGCUCGUCGAUGCAACUUAGUGUCAGUCCAACAGCGGUGUCAAAUUGUAAAUUAGCCACAGUGGCAAUUGUGUCUUUUCGCAUGGAGAAAAAAGGGAUACAAAAUAAAAAAUGAUUACAGUAAUUGAAAAGGGCAAAUCAUCAAAAGAAAAAUGAAAAGUGGGGCAAAUGAUCUAAUCCUAUGUAAAAUGGGGCAAAUCAUCUAAUGCCCAAGUAAAGUGGGGCAAAAGAUCCAAUCUCCCGCAGCAGUAAACAGCCAGUCUGAAUUUAUUUAUAUGGGUCAUAUGUAUAUCACUUAUAACGACAUAAAUCGCGGAUUUGACUAAUAUCUUUCUAAAUUUCUGAUGUAUGGGAACAGUAGGAUGUCUCUCACAUGUACAAUCGUCUAUUAGGAGAUUCCUCUGACAUGCCAUGUUCAUUAUUGAUGACUAGCAGUGAACAGCGAAUCUGAAUUCAUUUAUUUGGCUCAUAUGUACUCCGUAUCACUUGACAACAGGAAACACGGAUUUUGCUGAAACUGAAAUUAACUUGGUACAAAUGGUGAGAUGAUAGCUUUCUCUUGAAGUUAACUCAGUAAGUGAAAUCCGGAUAUUAGAUGGUUUAACUCGGUGGGAUAGAAAUGGGGAAAACACAAACUGGGGCUGUUUAUUGUGAUGAAAUAAUUUGAUAGAUUUAUAUUUUACUUAUUUAUUGCAGCGUCUGUCCCUCCAAUGCGAUACUCUGAUAGUACCUACGAAGAUGAAUUUGGGCUAGAAGACUCUGCAAACAUCCUCUCUGUCAGCAUAGUCUCCUCAGAUGUAGGCUUCCCAGUCAAUGUCUAUGGCCGUGUCAUUGCCAGAGACAGCAUUGACUACAAGUGCAUUUAUCUCUUUCACCGCAAUAGAGAUGAUUGCCAGCGUCUCAACAAGGUACAUCCUUGCUUCUAAGUUUGUUCUAAUCGGGUUUCAUUUUAUUUGAAGAUGCCUUUAACAUCUAAAUGGGCUCAUCUUAGUGCUGGUGGUUGUCGAUUCAGAUAGUCAUUUGCAUAUAAAUGGGGAAGCUUUUAUGGCAUGCUUUCAAUCUUCAUUUUGAGCAGUGUUUGGAUGAGCAUACUCUAAUCUCUCAUGCAAUUCUUUUCAUAGGAUGGAAUGCUGAUUUUAACUGGCCCAAGUCGAGGUCUAGUGCUGGUUGAUUUCAUCUAUCUAGAGAUAGAUCUUAAAAUCAGGGAAGAUGGAGUGUCUCCAGACAGGCCAUUUAGCAAGGGUCUAAUAAGUAUUGAUGGCCGAGUACUGUCUAGAGAGGAAGAUGUCGUGGUUAGAAGUGAAACCCUUGAGAGCUGGCUCAGCACUACGGAAGUGAGAUUCGCAACUGUUCUCAACGCAGUUGAGUGCACCAUUGAAAUCAAGCUUCUUGAGGGCCGUUUCAAAGGAAAUAUAAUAGUUGGCAUCUCAGAUAAAGUUCGCAAUCUGGACACUGAACAAACAAUUGUGAUUCAUGAUAGCAAGACAGAUGGCAUGGUGACAAGUGAUCAAAUUGGAGUUAUCAAACUCCGGCGAAGUGUCAUUACUAUCUGUCUAGAAAGAAUGCUGGUGUUUCACAUGAAUAAUAAUAUGGCUGCUGGUAUUUGUGGUGAACGAACCUUUGAUUUAACUCCACGCCGCACUGGUGCAGAUGAAUUGGAAAUUACGUGUGGUGCUGGGAAGUUCGGAUUCAGGGUCGUCUGGUCCUUGAUGGACUUUAGGCUGUAAUCAUGUGCCUUUAUAUACUAAGUUGAACUAAGUUAUAUCGCGAGUCAGUGAUGUAAUGGAUAAGUAGAUGUAGUGAACUGGGUUAUAUCGUGGUGUAAUGAUGCAGUGAACUAAGUUAAUUGUGGUGCAAUGAUGUAGUGAACUAAGUUAAUCGUGAUGUAAUGGUGUGGUGCACUAAGUUAUAUUAUUGUUAUUAGUUAACUUGAUGGAUUAUAAGUAAUGAUGUAGCGAACUAAAUUAUAAUGUAUUAUGGUGGCGUGUUAUACCGAAUUUGUUGGUUUCAUUUUUUUGGCAUAAUCAAAGCAGAUUAGCGUGCUUGGCAUUUUGUUAGACAUGUAUUAGGCGGAAAGAUGAACAUUUGUCACUGUUAAGGGACUUUUCUAUCAUAUUUAUAACCGUGGUUUGUAUUGAUUGCUCAUGGUCACUUCUGUGUUAUCUAAAUAUCCUGAAAAUUUAAAUAUUUGGAAGAUGGUUUGUAUUGAUUGCAUUCCAUUUGGUUGUUGUUAUUCUGAACCAACUUCUGAAGCACAACCUGGGUUCAACUAGGAAGGCAGGAGGCACCUGCAUAUUCUCAGUUCUGAACCACAUGUUUGUUGGGAAGGAGUGUCCUGCCCGAGAAAGUGGCUUCAUUUUUAGAUCCAUGUUGCUUGUUCAAGUCAAUUUUGUUGGUACAUAAGAAAUUUAAGGAUGUUUACAAAGGAAACGAUCUUCAAGACACCAUGCCGCCAGAGAUACUUUUUCUUCCCAUGUUCUCUUUUAUAAACUUUGUUGGUUCUGGGCUUCAUUUAUUUUCCUACUAAAUCAAGUAUAUUACCUAGGGCAUACAUUUAUUUUCCCAGUAAAUCAAGUAUAUUACCUAGUGCCUUUCUUAUCACAUAUGUGAAUGUCAUUAGCCCAAAGACAAACGUUAAUGUCAACAAUUCAUGAUUUUUACAGUAUAUGAUUUUGCCCUCAAGUUAUGUAUGAGUGUAAUUUCUUGUUCUAAAUAUGAUAGUGCGUGAAGUUGGUGGUGACGACAAAUGCACUGGAAAAUGUUGGAAUUGCUAACUUGGAUACAUGGAUCUAGCACGAUGAGAGGAUAAAGGUCAGUAUGUUGUAAUAUUUGCCAUUUCAAUCUGAACUUCUGAAUGAUUGCCACCUCUACCUCUAAAAACCGUUGGUUGUAACACUCUUGAUGGUUUGGCUUUACUAGCUGUUUUGAACGCAUUGAUUGGUACCAAGAGGCAUGAUUCUCCUGACCAUAGUUUAAGAAAUAAUCAAUACUUGAUCGAUUUUCUGUGAAUCAUUAUUUAAACAGCACAAAACAAAAAGGUCCAUGCUGUCUUUUGUUCUUGCACACCUUGAGGGCUGUUAUGAAACCAGUGGACUGGUAACAAUUGAAGAUGGUAACUUCAAAUAAAAUGGAUUAGGAUCACGGAUCUUCAGGGCCAGUAAAUAAAUUUUGAGUUAUAGAACAUCAGAAUUAUAAUACGUUGAGCAUGAACUGAAAACCUGAAAUAGUAUAGAACAGAACAUCACAGCAAAGCUACUGGCUAGAGCUGGGAGAUUGACAUUGGUUAAUGCUUUCUUCAUGGCCACUGCAACUUAUUUCCUCCCCGUUUUUGCUCCAAGCAAAUGGACAACCAAGAGAAUGGACAAGAAAUUUUCUUUGGAACGUGGACGAGGAGGCUAAGGGGAGGAAAUGUCUCAUGAAUUGGCGCUCUGUUUGCUCCCCCAAGAAUGCCGGUGGUUUGGGCAUCAAGGACACUGCUUACGUUAGUAGAGCAUUGCACCUGCUUGUUUUAGUUUGGGCAUCAAGAGACCUUGGUCUGGCAGCCCUACCCCCUGUGAUAAUUAUUGAUAAAAGGCAUAAAGCUAGAUGUUCUCUGUUUGCUCUGUUGCACACACAUUGAGCUUGGUGAUGCAGCUAAAGUGGGUUUUUGGAUGGACCGUUGGUUGCUGCCAGAAGAAUAUUACUGUCAAAGAAACUUUGGGACUAAAUGGUUGGAUGUGUGACCUCCUGAGGAUGAAUAGUGAAGAUGAACUAGGUCAGUUCAUUGUUUUGUGGGACAAAGUGCGGUCUGUUAAGUUGUCCAUGGGGCCGUAUGAUAUUUGAUGGCUACUAACGGUGGAUCGUCGCUUCAGCUGCCUUGCAUAUGGAUUUCACUUUGCUGCAAACUCCCCUCAACCACUAUUGGAUAGUGUUUGGAAAGUGAAGGCUGAGCCCAAAAUUAAAUUUUACUUGCGGCUUCUAUUGAAGAAUGGCACCUCUUCUGUCCUAUGUGAUCAGGUUCCUGAAUCUGCUACUCAACUGACGUUUAACUACUCCUUCGCUCGCCACCUCUUCUGUCUCUCUGACGAUAAGGUGGCUACCGUCGGAUUUCGUGCUGUCACAAUCAAAGUAUGGUGGCACAAAUCUUCCGCCCUAAGCAAGUUUGCUGUCUUGAAGAAGCAAGACACUGCUGCUGAUUACAUUGCGUAGAAUCUAUGGAAAGGGAGGAACUGCCGAUCUUUUGAGGAUGUGAGUGCACGCUGAGGUUGUAGUGUAUAGCUUAUGCUCAUAGUCUGAGGUAGCGUCCUCCAAAGCAUGCCUGGCUGAGUGUUGUAUAUCAUGUUGNNNNNNNNNNNNNNNNNNNNNNNNNNNNNNNNNNNNNNNNNNNNNNNNNNNNNNNNNNNNNNNNNNNNNNNNNNNNNNNNNNNNNNNNNNNNNNNNNNNNNNNNNNNNNNNNNNNNNNNNNNNNNNNNNNNNNNNNNNNNNNNNNNNNNNNNNNNNNNNNNNNNNNNNNNNNNNNNNNNNNNNNNNNNNNNNNNNNNNNNNNNNNNNNNNNNNNNNNNNNNNNNNNNNNNNNNNNNNNNNNNNNNNNNNNNNNNNNNNNNNNNNNNNNNNNGAAAAAGCAGGCUAUUGCCGGUAAAAAAAAACGGAUUUGAUGCUUCAGAGCAAACUUUGAUGGUUAGCAUUGCCGAUGACCCUGAGUCUGAAACUUGUUUGCUCGUGAGACAUGUUCAACUAAAUUUGGAAACAGGUGAUCAAUGAAGGUUUCAGUCAAGGCAUUAUCCAAGUGCAAGCACAGAUGUUCAUCUUGAAUGAUGGCGCUUAAUUUUCCUAAACAGUCAAUACAUUGUCCAUAUAUUAACUAGCAUUCUUCUUCCAGUCUCAGCAUGACAUUUUUUUUUCAAGGAACCAGCAGGAGCACUACCUUUUCAUUUCAGAUGAAAGAGGAGAGUAUAUGUAUAGAGGUGUCAUGUUUUUCAAAGGAACCUGACAAAACCCAUCUCAGCAUGACAUAGGACGGCCGCUCGAGCAUUGUCUAACUAUAAAAAUUUAAAAGGAUCAUGCGACGCGCCCCAACCUUUGAAUCUUCCAUGGAGCUUGAACGGAAGCCUGAGACCAGUAUUACAUGGUUGCUUCUGGGCUUGCAUUAUGUUUAAAUGUUAGUUUAUGUUGUACUGAUAUGAUGUUAACUUUUCACUCUUUUUGUAGGCAUUAUGUACAAUUUUUCUGCUCAUUUGUACUUGAUGCAUUUGCCAAGCAGUUGUCUGGUCCUGCUAUCUUUUUUUACCUGAAUGUUACUCCCUCCGUUCCAAAAUAGAUGACUCAACUUUGUACUAAAUUUAUACUAAAUCUAGUACAAAGUUGAGUCAUCUAUUAGUACAAAGUUGAGUCAUCUAUUUUGGAACGGAGGGAGUAGAAGGCUGAUGUCAGAUUUUUAAGGAGUCCGAGCGAACGAUCUCGUGCAUGUCGGGUUCCACGCACCAUUCCUGAAGUGUUCACUGCAAAUACAUCAUUUGAGCAAACUACGAGGUGUUGGCACUAAGCACUAAUUGGUUGGCUCAGGAUGUCAAUAUGAGCGAACACAUUCACAGAUAAUAAUUUAUGGUUUUAGAGCAUCUCAAUUAUCACCUUUUUCUGUUGAUGUAGCAUGACAAUUUCAUUCAGCUAGUAUGGCAAAUCCUGAAUGGCAAUUUUUAGUUUACAACAUGGCAACUCCUUAUACAACAUCACAUUU
rnacentral:lncRNA from 1 species